UUCUAUUGAGUACAUGAUGAAAUUAACACAAACAAUACUAGGGGCAUAAAAAGAACACCAUGAGAUUAUCAACAAAAUGAUAAUCACCCAUCAACCAGAUUAUCAGCAAAUUGAAAUUUCAUCACUUGAAAUAUGAAUACCCAUCAACCCUCUGCUUCUCUGUUUUGACCAUAUUUGAGGUGAAGGCUGGGGUUCUGGGUUCAUGGGUGCUGGGGUUACGGGCUACGGUAGAGGGUGGUAGUGGGAUAGGUUUGAGGGUUGGAGCUUGUAGGUGGUAGUCAUGGGGGAAGAAGAAAUCGUCAGGGGAAGAGGGAGAGCACACAGGAGGAGAGAGAGAGAGAGAGAGAGAGAGAGAGAGAGAGAGAGAGAGAGAGAGAGAGAGAAUUAAUUUCACUAAGUUGACGGAAAGACCAAUGAUGCAACAUGCGAUCUAAUUGAAACACCACCGUAACAAUUUAACAAUAUGAGGGACGAAAAGUAAAGUUUGGUCUUAGUCCAGGGACCAUUGCUAUAAUUUUGCCAAAAAACUAUUUGCGAUAGGUUCCCACUUCUUGUUUGACUGGUCUAGAUAUGCUUGUGUUUAUAAGGAUAUUUUCUUUUGGCAAAAAAAAAAAAAAAGAAAAAGAAAAAAAAAAGAAAGAGGAUAUUUUCGGAGAGUUGAUGAUAUUUUUCUCAAAUAAAAAGGAUAUGAUUCCCCAUAUUGAUGAUAUUUUCUCAAGCCCUUGGUGAAUCUGAUUCCUCAUUUGACCCAAAAGGACAAUUAAUAAUUGAAGAUCAAUCUAUAUCUAUAUCAGCCAGGGAUUUAUUAAUUAAAACAAAAUUAUUUUAUACAUAUCAUUAGGUCGUUGAAUAUGCUACUCUUAUCACAUUUGUAUACUACAUUCCCAUACCAUCUUAUGUGACAAAUGAGGUGGACAACCACAUUAAUUAAAUUUAUUUAACAUUUUCUUUUCUUCUAUGAUUUAUUAACACUUUAAAAAACACUGUUAAUUAACAUUUCUUUAUUAAAAAUACGCUUCAUUGAUUUAAUUGAUGUGACAUAUGAUAUGAACAUGCCACAACAUGUGGUAUAGAAAUAUGAGAUAAAAUGCGGUAAAUAUAGCAUUACUAUUUGAUGGUUUGAUUAGCAAAACAGUGUUAUUGUGUUAUAUAUAGAAUGAUAAUCUACAAAUCCUCAGUUUGGUGGAAUAUUCAUCACACAAAUUUCGAAUGUAUCUAUGGUCACAUACAUAAUUCCUAUAUAUGAUUUGGAAUUUUGUAAUACAUUUGUUAGGAUUGAAACAAGCACAAAAUUAAAAAUUAUAAAAAAAAAACACUAUUGCCAUUUCCCUAGCAUGAUAAGGUUGAAUUAAUGUCCAGUCAUCCAUUUCUCUUUAGUAUAUCCUAAAUCCUGAAUUGUACAAUAGAUUAUGCAAAUAUUAAAACCAAAGAGAUAUUAUAGAUCGAGAAUACAUGCACGAAAUACGUAUGUAGGUACGUACAUAUUCUAUCAAUUACAAGCUUAUCAUGAGGACGGGACAACUCGCUGGCAUAUUGACUGGCGGGAACUUUCACAGGGUCAAUCUUUGUUGGAUAACCACGGAAGUCAUGUCCAUUGGAAAUCCAAGUUAAGAAAAAAAAGAAAAAGAAAAAGAUACACUCUUCGCAGAUAUAUAGGGUAUAUCUAGUAGUUAAAAGGAUCACUAGGAGGAGAGGAAGAAAGGCUGACUAUGUUUCUUGUGUACCAAGAAAAUUAAGGCUAAUUGGGUCGAGGACCAUAUUCAGUAAUUACCACUCCCUUGUACAGCUCUGCUGCCUCAGUGCUAGUAAGAACGCGGCCCUUUGCCUGAUUAGGCUUCUGAGCUGGAACUUCCACCGUCUUUACAGGCCUUCUGAUCUGAUGAUGAGGAGGAGGGACAUGAUUUUGAUCCAUGUUGGGGUAUGGAUAAUAUUGUACCUGUUGAGGAGGAGGAGGAGGCCUUACGGUGACAGUCUUGGUGGGCCAGCCGCCAUGAUACUCGUCUCUCUUGGGAGGUGCUGGGAAGUAUGAAACUUCUUCUGCAGGGUAGACAUGAUCAUAUAGCACGGGAUAUGGGUGCCUGAUAUGAUAAAACACUUUCUCCUCUCUCGUGGUCAUAAAGCCUUGAUAAAAAGCCAUGCUAACUUAAUUAAAAGCUGAGAAUUGAAGUAGAACUAAUUGAUCAAGGGGAAGCUAGAGCUAGCUAGGUUUGCCUUGCCUUACUGAAACAAAGGUUAAGAGCCAAGCAACAUUAUAUAGGAGUGAGAGUCACAGAAGCUCACAAGUGGGCUGUCUGAUCGAUCUUGUGAUUUUCUUUUUAUGCUUUCCUUUUUCGUAAAAUAAUAAAAAGUAAUUCUUAUACUCUAGCAACCAACAAAUAUGAUAAGACAUUACCAUAAGAAUACUGUUCUUAUAAGUAAUUCAUGGCUUGUUUCGUAAGUCUUUUUGAAAAGAAAAAAAAAAUCAAUGGAGGAGGGACGGGAGUGCUUUCUAACAGUCUUGGUUGAGAGCUAGUUUGUGACUUGUGUUGUAAGUUGGGUCCUUGAAAGAUGGAUGGUGGGAAGUUUAAUUAGUAAUUUCGAGAAAUUCCUAUAACUUUGAGGAGUUCCAUUCUUGUGAUAUUGUAUGUUUAAUUUUAAAUAACUUGAGUUCAAGCAAAUCCAUGCAUGGCAAGUUCGAAUUUGAUAAGGAUAAUGAAAGUGAUAUAUAUUCUUUAUUGAUUUUUUUUUUUUUUUCCAGUGACGAUCUUUAAAUUGCGAAAAUUUGUUAAUAACUACUCUCGUCCGCAGUGCCUCAAUCAAAAUUGAACCUCCAAAGGAUUUGGUUAAGCAGUGAGCAAUUCUGGUAAGGUUUGGCCACGAGUUACAUAUAUAUAUCUACUACAGAGAACAUAAUGUUAGAUGUUUUGUAUUAUUUUAUUCCCCUCUUACUGGAGAGUUUUGAAUAUAUGCACAUGACUGUGGACCGUAUAACGUUACCCUUCGUAGACAUUUAUCCUUUGCAUCGACUGUGGACCGUAUAACGUUACCAAUUUGUUUUAGAUUCCAACUGCCACCAUCAAAGAAAAAGCAAUGAUAUAUACAUAAUAUGUAUCCAUGGAUAACAAGUGUUGUGGAUAAGUCAUAAGAGAUUAUAGAUUAAAUUUAUAAAUUUGCAUUGUAUUAUGAGUUCUUAUUUUUCCAUUCUUUUUUUGUUCACUUACACUUUUUUGUUUUGUGUUUGUUUUAAUACCUUUUAUUAUAACAUUUAAGGGAAUGUAAGUGGACAAAAGAGAAGUGGGAGCAUACAAUUUUCAACAAAGGGAGUGUAAACGGACAAAAGAUUAGUGGAAAAAUAUGCUCCUUAUAUUAAUAGUUAUUAAACUAGGUGCUUUCCAAUAUAUUAUUGAUGUUAUUUUCAUUGGAUUUAAAAUUGUUUCUCCCAUCUUAGAAAUGUUGAUAUAGGUAACAUUUAGUAAGGAGAAAAAACUGCAAAAGACUUAUUAUUGAUGUAAUUUUAUUUCUUGAUGAUUUGGGAAAAAAGUAUUUGUGUGGCGUGCAUAUGCUUACGAUGGCAAGUUUACGUAACAAAAUUAUUCUGGCCUAUCUCAGGCUCUGUGCUUGAUAUCUUCUUGGUAGGAAAAUAUAUUCUUGAUCAUAUAAUGUUGCUUUAAAUUACCUGUAGUGGAGGAAGCAUUUGCCUCCUGUUGCAUGUAUAUAUUUGCCCAAAUUACAAAUGGGUUACUUUAGAUUUAGAGCAUAUAUAUAUACAUAUACAGUACGUGAAUGUGAUCGAUUCCAAUUUUCCAACAGAAAAAGAUACCACAAUCCCCAGCCACAACAAUCUUGCCUGGGUCCUUAAUUGGGAUAAGAUAUUUGAAGAAGCUUGGGGAAUAAAAUGGUAUAUUCUUUUUGCAUCUCUUUCUAAUUUGCAUACUUAAUUUUCUUUUUCUUUCUACGUUCUAACUAAUAGUCUAAUCAACCUACGAGGGUUUGUUGUCGCAAUUCCUGAAAAGGAGUAAAAAGAACAUAUUCAAAGGAAAACAAAAGGAAAAAAAAGGGAGAAGAACGCUCCUUGGGGGAAAUGGGAAGGUAUUAAUUCCUUGCAUAACUUGGUAGAAGUUCACCUUCACCAUCGACACAAUCAGUUAGAAUCUUUCUUUCUCGGUUCAAAUUUCGGAAAGGAAUAUAAAAGGAAAGCUCAAUAAUUGUACGUAUAAGUUCUUCUUUACUUUUAACUAUUUUGGAUUUUUUUUAUUCAAUAACGCUAUGUGUACCAAUUUGUUUAUCAAUUUUUUAAUACCAAGUUAUCAACAUAUGUGGCACAUGACAUGGCAACCCAUGUCAUCUGCCAUCUUAUUUAUUUUAACUACAUAUUUUGUUCCUAAAAAAAGAAUUUCACCUAGCAAAAAGGGUCCUGUGCGAAACUUAAAUUGGAGCCCUCACAUAAUUUAAUAUGAAAAUACUAAAAAAAAAAGUUGCCAUGACUUAAUUUCAUCAUCAAUUAACAUGUAAUAACAAUCACAAAUCAAAUUCAUAAUUUAUUUUAUUUUAUUUUAAAUGUUUUCAUUUGAUAAAGUUAAAUAUUAGUAUGUUUGGUAAAAAAAAAUAAGAGUUCAAGAGAAAGAAGAAGGCAUGAUUUUUUAUUUUUUGGUUUAAUUUUGAGAGGAAGAAAGUAUGUUUUUAGGAGAAAGCGUAUGGGUGUGAUAUAUUAGUUUAGUUGGAUCCACCUCUACCAAAUACACUUAUCAAUGUGUUGCACGCUAGAUUAUAUAUACACUUUUUAUAAUAUUAAAAUAUAAUAUAAAGUAAAAAAAAAUUCAGGGGCUCUAAAAAAUUAGGGACCUUAUGCAGUGGCGCCACUUACACCAUACUAGGGCAAUCCAUGGAUGAGAAGUUGCUAAGUCAGUCGAUGGCGAACCUUUAGAAUUAGGAGAGUAGUCAUUAUAGUGCAUCUGAUACUCUUUUUUUCUUUGUUAUUUUCUUGUUUUCUUUUGUUUUCUUUUUUUUUUUUAAAUUAUAAAUUUUAUAAUAAUAAUAAAUUUCCGUGAAAAAUGAUUACAUAACAAACAAGAGAGAGUAUGCAGGAGGGACUAGCAUUAAAUAUAUUUUAUAUAGCAUAGGGCCAUCUCCAACAAUGAGAGGCAAAAUCCAAAAUUUGGGAUUUUUAGCCCAAAACCUUCUCCAACCUAUGUAUUUGAGAGAGGGAAAUUUGAGUAGACUGAAAAAUGGGGUGGAAUUUGGCCCCAGAUUCCAGUCCAGACAGAGUUUUUAUGGGGCCUAAUUCCCAGCAAAUAAGAGUCAUGUGGGCCUCAUUUGAAGCAAAUGAUAGGCUAUUGCCCACUACCCCAAGUUGCUGGCCAAAGCCUAGGCAACUUAAAAAUUGGACUUCUAUGGCUGCAUUUCAAAUGGGCUUCUUUCAAAUUUUUUUUUUCAAACCCAAAGGCUAGAAAUCAAUGGCUGAUAUUAAAUUCUGGUUGGAUCAAAGGGAAAAAAAUAAUCCAACAGUUGGAAUUUAAAUCCAAAGGUAAAAAUAAGUAAAUAUAUUAUUCUAAGUUGGAUGCAACCUCCAAACAUAUCCUAAACUCUAUAAAUACCCAUCAAUUUGUUAAUAAAAUUAUGUUUGUGAAAUUUCAAAAAUUUUAUGUCACAAUGUUCAAAAAAAUAAAUCACGGAUAUUCAAAAUUUAAUUUAAAAAAAUUAACCACAAAAAUAAAAUAGGAUUAUAUAUUUUUUUAAUAAUUUAAUAAAGUUGCGGACUCAAAUUAUGAGUCGGCAAGGCUGGAGGAAAAAACAAUUUAAGUCCUAAAAAUACAUGAAUAGUUGUAUUUUGAAGGGUGAAAUUUUGGGUUUGAGUCCUCUAGAGUUGAAGAUGGCUUAAGAAGUGAUUUCUACAUAUAAUUAUAAGCCGAACAUAUAAAGAUUAGGCUAGCUAUCCAAACCACUUCUACAUCUGAUAUACAUAUAUUUGUUUAUUUUAUAUAAAUACCACCACAAAAAUAGAAUAAACAGUUCCGCAGAACAACAGUAAACUUCUAAUACUCAAAAAACACAUCAUUUAGCUUACAUAAUAGCUUACUUAUUUGAAAUAUGUAUUAGUAAUAUUUCAAAUUACAGAAGUGCCUUAUAAAGUAUUGAAUGUAUGGAAGAUUCUUUGGAGCUAAGAAUUUCGUGGCAGGUUGACCCAUGGAUAAGGUUGGUACAAAACACAUUAAUGAAAAAGAGGAAUAAGCACAAAUUGUGGGAGGUGAAGAUAUUUCUUUCUGGAGAGGGUGACAGGAAUAAAUAUCAUAGUUUAUCUGGGUUUUUUUUCGUUGUUUGAGAACUGCAUAUAAUGGAUCUUUCAAAUAAACUUAUUUGAGGGAUAUUUUUGUAAAGUUCAAUUUGUAUUGUAUAUAUUUAAACAAUUCACAGAUCAAACUGUUUAUUUCAUAAAUUAUCUUUUUUAAAAAUCACACAAAUUAAGAGCUAGAUGUGACAAAUUAAUCUCUAAAUAAACUUAUUUAAGGGGUAUUUUGUAGAAUUCAAUUUGUAUUAUAUUUCAACAAUUUGAACCAUCUAUAUAUCAUAGAUGAUAUCUCUUUAAAAAAGCACCCCAAUUGAUUUUUUUUUAUUUUUAUAACCAUUAUGAUGUAGGACAAAUUAUGAGAGAGAGAGAGAGAGAGAGAGAGAGAGAGAGAGAGAGUAAAAACUCACACGAUGGAGUAGUACUGAUACUGCAAGUUGGGAAUAAUUAGAAAGAUGUUGGAGUACAAGUUUUUGCGCGAUGGAAAAACUCAUUUUGUGCGACGGAAAAAUGGUUUUUUGCGACGGCAUUUUGCGUGACGAAAUAUAUGGUUCGUCGCGCAAAGUCCUUCUUCUUCAUAUCAGAAUUCUGCAAUUGCAGAGGCAGAAAGCAAAAAAAUUUCCUUUCUUCCUCUCUCUCAACCUCUCUGCUGCUGCCUCUGCUGGAAAUUCAGUACGUUCAUUGGGUAAGUAUUUUUUAUUGUUAGUUUAUAAGUAUUAAUGUAAAUUCGUACUAACGCUAUUAAUUUUUUUCUCGUUAGGGAUAUUUGUAAUUAGUGAUUGGUGGAGAACGAUUGAUAAUGUAUUUUAUUCGUUUUAUAUAUUAAAAAUGUUAAAGUUAGUUUGUUAUGUGUAUAUUUUUUUUGUGAAGUUAUAUUUAUAUUAUGUUGUUAAAUUGUGUGUGACGUAGCACAAUGUGUUGUGAUGUACGAAGUUAAUUGAAAUUAACUUCGUACUUUUAUUUGUAUGUUUUGUAAUAUUUAGUUUCCCGUUUGAGAUUAGUUGGAUUUCGUACAUGGAUGCGUAAAGCAUGACUGCGGUCCAAUUAAUUCUUGAAUUGUCCCACUAUUUGGACAGUUUGGUAAUGCAUAGUUAGUCACGUAAUCUACGGCUACAGAAUUAGGUUUCGAUUGUGGAGAUUUCGGUGUCAUCUCGGUUCGUUUUUUGGGUGAUACGUAUGUAUUUAUACCUAUGCCCACCUCAAGAACUGUAUCGAGAUGCUGCCGAAAUUCAUCCAUGUCGAAAUCUAAUCUUAUGUAGCCGUAGGUUACGUGACAGGACUAUACAUUCCCGAAUGGGAUAGGGCCCUUACUGGAGGCAUAAGGUGAUAUUAUAACUUCAUAUGAAGUUGUUGUGAUUGUUAUGUUGUGAUUGUGGUUUCAGGAAUUAUAAGCAGAAGGUGGAUACAGAACCCGAAUAGAUGUCACAUCCCGGGAUCGGCUCCGUCGUAGCACGAUAUUGUCCGCUUUGGGCCCCUUCUCUGCCCUCAUGAUUUUGUUUCUGGGAGCUCACGAGCAACUUCCCAGUGGGUCACCCAUCCUGGGAUAGCUCUGGCCUCCAACUCGCUUAACUUCGGAGUUCCUACGACUCCGAAGCCAGUGAGCUCCCAAAAGGCCUAGUGCUAGAUGGAUGCGGGUGUGCACAUAUAAUGCACAUCACCCCCUCUCCGUUGGUUGAUGUGGGAUCUUACAAUAAUUGUCAUAUUCCGGGAUCGGCUCCGCCGUAGCACGAUAUUGUCCGCUUUGGGCUCCCCUCUCUGGCCCGCACGGUUUUGUUUCUGGGAGCUCACGAGCAACUUCCCAGUGGGUCACCCAUCCUGGGAUUGCUCUAGCCCCCACCUCGCUUAACUUCGGAGUUCCUACGACUCCGAAGCCAGUGAGCUCCCAAAAGGCCUCGUGCUAGAUGGAUGCGGGUGUGCACAUAUAAGGCACAUCACCCCCUCUCCGUUGAUUGAUGUGGGAUUUUACAAUCCACCCCCCUUAAGGGCCCGACGUCCUCCUCGGCACACUCGCACCACACGGCAGAGUGGCUCUGAUACCAAAUUGUCACAUCCCGGGAUCGGCUCCGCCGUAGCACGAUAUUGUCCGCUUUGGGCCCCUCUCUCUGGCCCGCACAGUUUUGUUUCUGGGAGCUCACGAGCAACUUCCCAGUGGGUCACUCAUCCUGGGAUUGCUCUAGCCCCCAACUCGCUUAACUUCGGAGUUCCUACGACUCCGAAGCCAGUGAGCUCCCAAAAGGCCUCGUGCUAGAUGGAUGCGGGUGUGCACAUAUAAGGCACAUCACCCCCUCUCCGUUGGUUGAUGUGAGAUCUUACAAUAGAUGCGCAGACGAAUACUUGGAUGGGAUCGAGGAUUUUAUUAAGUUUGCACGUAGACACAACCCGGGUGCAACUAGAAUCCGAUGUCCUUGUAGGAGGUGUAAUAACACGUUGUGGGAGACAAUUGAAAAUGUUGGAUUUCAUUUAGUAAGGAAUGGAAUGAUUGAGACAUAUAGCAUUUGGUACCUUCAUGGGGAACAAUUAGACCAUGCUUCGUCUUCAAAUGCCACAAGAAUGGACAGUAUUGAACCUAUUGUGGAUCAUAAUGAUCAAGUCAUGGAUAUUAUACAUGAUGCUUUUCCAUUUGCAUCGACCAACAUCAAUCACGAAAGGAAAGAUGACGUGCCUACACCAAUAGACAGCGCGGAGUUUGAACAAUAUGAAAAACUGUUAAAAAAUGCCAACCAAGAGCUGUACCCGGGGUGCGAGAGCUUUUCCGUUCUCACGACCAUUGUAGAACUAAUGCACGAAAAAAUAAAGUAUCGUAUGUCGAACCUGUGUUUCGAUUACUUUUUGGGGGUUUUCAAGAGAAUGCUUCUGACGGACAAUUGUUUGCCGAAAGACCAUAAACACGCGCAGAAGGUGUUGAAUGGUCUUAGAUUGGGUUAUGAAAAAAUUCAUGCUUGCAAAAAUAAUUGCAUGUUAUUUUACAAUGAGCAUGAAAUGUUGGAUACAUGCCCUAUAUGUAAUGAGUCGAGGUUCAAAAUGACAUCUUAGAACAGAAUGACUAAGAUCCCACAAAAAGUCAUGCGUUAUCUGCCCCUAAAACCUAGGUUGCAGCGAUUGUAUAUGUCGACGCAUACUGCCACAGACAUGAGAUGACAUAAGGAAAAACGGGUAGACGAUGAUGUGAUGCGGCAUCCUGCAGAUGGGGAGGCAUGGAAAGAGUUCGAUCGAACGUUCCCCGAGUUUGCUGCUGAUCCCCGAAAUGUGAGAUUGUGACUUGCCACUGACGGAUUCAAUCCGUAUGGGGUUCUAAACCAACACCACAACACUUGGCCGAUUUUCGUAUUCCCAUAUAAUUUGCCGCCUUGGAAAUGCAUGAAAAAAGAAUACAUGAUGAUAACUGUUUUGAUAACUGAGGAUCCUAGGAGGUCAAUCGAUGUUUACUUAAGGCUACUGGUUGAUGAGCUGAAGGAUUUAUGGACAAACGGUGUUCGCACGUACGAUAAAUCAACUAGGAAGAUGUUCACUUUGUGGGCAACAGUUAUGUGGACUGUGAAUGAUUUUCCAGCAUAUGCAAUGGUUUCUGGGUGGAGCACAAAGGGUUAUAUGACAUGUCCUAUAUGCAAGGAAGAUGUAACUUCUGGUUGGCAUGCGGGAAAAGUUUGUUACCUUGGUCAUCGGAGAUGGUUGCCAUGGGACCACGAGUGGCGGGAAAAAGAUAAAGAGUUCGACGGAAACACAGAGCUUCGCCUUAGACCUAGAGAAUGGUCCGGUGAUGAGAUCUUAGAACAGCUUAACCGUUUGGAUUUUGCUCCGUUCGGAAAAACAGUUAGUCAGACUAGACCUUCUACACAUAUGAACUGGACUCACAAGCCUAUGUUUUUUGAGCUCCCAUAUUGGUCGAAACUCAAAUUGAGGCACAAUCUAGAUGUGAUGCAUGUUGAGAAAAAUGUAUUUGACACAUUGGUGGGCACGAUUCUAGAUAUCGAGGGCAAGACAAAGGACACAAUCAAAGCCCGUCUUGAUUUGGAAAGAAUGGGCAUACAAAGGGGUUUAUGGAUGAACAGGGACAGUGAUAAAGCUAGAAGGGAUCUUGCAUUCUUUUCUAUGAAACCGAAUGACAAAAAAGAGUUUAUAAAGUUUGUAUCGUCUGUAAAGUUUCCUGAUAGGUAUGCUUCUAAUAUCGCACGUUGCGUGAAUGUUGACGGGGGUAAAUUUACUGGACUGAAGAGCCAUGACUGCCAUGUGUUUAUGCAACGCCUACUUCCUGUGGGUAUUCGACAUCUAUUGCUGUAAGAUGUUGUGAAGCCAAUCAUGUUGUUGUCCAGAUUUUUUUCCCAACUGACGGCAAAAACAUUGCGAAAGACAGACAUGUUUCAGUUGCGCCAUGACAUUGUCCAAGUCUUAUGCAAGUUUGAGAUGAUAUUUCCUCCAGUUUUCUUCACAAGUAUGAUGCAUUUGAUGGUUCACUUGCCAAAAGAGGCAUUGCUUGCUGGUCCUGUCAACUAUCGCUAGAUGUAUCCAAUAGAAAGGUAUAUAAUCCUUAUCGUUUGUGUAUGCAUCAUUAUCACAGACUUACUAAUUUGUAUCAUAUCGUUUUAUUUUGACAGGCUUCUCGGAGAGCUGAAAAAAAGUGUACGCAAUAGGGCGAAGCCCGAAGGAUCAAUUAUAGAGGCUUGGGUUCAAUAUGAGUCGCUUACUUUCUGUGGAAUGUAUUUAAAAGAUGUGGAGACGGCUUUCAAUCAUCCUCAGAGCAAUAACGACGGAGGUAUGAGAAAGGAAAAACUUUCUGUUUUUGCCCAAAGCGCACGACCCUUUGGAGAUCUUGGACGAGGAGAGUCGUUUUCUAGAAAUGACAUGGAGGUAGCACAUUGGUUCAUACUGAACAAUUGUGAUAAGAUAAUGGCAUACUUAGAUAAGCAUGAAGAGAUGAUGAAGCGAGAACAUCCAUCACAUUUAGUUGCCCGGAAACACCGUGAAUUGUUUCCACAAUGGUUUUUGGAUUCUAUAAGUUAUAAGUGUUUUGUAUUUGACAAAUAUAAAUUGUAGUAUUUAAUUUUGUCAGACUAACAUGUGAAUGGUUUUGUAUUAUAUUAGGUGAAUAAGUUGAAGUCAUCGAAUUCCCCCACUUACAGUGAUGAGUUAUAUAACUUGGCGUUCGGCCCGAUUCGCGCUGAAUUAUUUUCGGGUUGUUUUAUUAAUGGCGUCAAAUUUUUGGGGGCUGCACGAGAUGACAAGUUGUGUACGCAAAACAGCGGUGUCCAUGUCCCAGGUGGAGGCGAAAGUACGAACAUUGAUUUCUAUGGCAAACUCACAACUGUCGUUCAAUUGCUUUACAAAGAUCGAUACCAAGUGAUCAUGUUUAAGUGUCGAUGGUUUGAUAGCAACCCAAAUAUGCCGGAAAGUGUUAAAAUCGACCAUGGCUUACUAUCUGUGAACAUUAACAGAACUUGGUAUGAUGACGACCCUUACAUUUUAGCAAACAUGAUAACACAAAUUGUGUAUCUAGAUGACCCUAAAGCCGGGAGCAGUUGGAAAGUUGUUCAGAAGAUGGAUCAUAGGAACGUGCAUGCUAUACCUGAACUAGACCCAACUGACAACGACGUCGACAAUGUGACUGACCAACGUUUAGAAUCUUCAAUGAAAAAUGAUACGGAAACACUUCGAGAUACACAAGUUAUACAAGAACCGUUUCAAAUACAAGGAAUGUCUUCAAUCGAAAUACCGAUUCAGUCAAUUACAAUUGACCUCGAGGAUCUUCCAAGAUUCGAUGUUGCAGUGGGCCCGAGCAACGAAGAUGAUGUAGUUAUAGAGGAGGAUGAGAAGGAUUGGGAGACCGAAAGUGAUAAUAGCGACGAUAACGAAAGUUAUUAUAGUUCAGAUGAGGAAUAAUUAAAUUUUUUGUAAUUUUAUUAUGCUAGUGUACAUGACAGGACCCGAUCCAAAUUUCGCUUUGGAAUCCGAGUCAGACCCUGUGCGUGUCCGACACUGGCAAAUAUCGGGCACAAAUGACCUAUUUGCCCUUCUAUACAAAACACAAUAAAAUAACAAGGUUGACUUCUACCGAAAAACCGGCAGAGUUUCCCUUGUAACUGGCUUAAUACCAAAACAUUUUCACCUGUCAAAACAAGUAUAUAUAUACAACCAACUGCCAGCAUACAUAUAUAUACAUUCCAACAGUUCAAAUCUCAGUCUAGGGCAAAACAUCAGAGCGACUACUAAAUGUACAAAAGAGUGAAUCUGUUUACAAAACAAAAUCCUACAUCAAAAGAAAGGCGCGGAAGAUGGGAAGUGGCCCGGUGGUGGAUUCCUGUGCACGUCUACUGCCUGGGGGCGCAAAACAACAAUAAGGGUGAGUGGACCCAAAACAAAGCUUAGAAAAUAAUAUAUGCACAUACUAACCCCACUGUAAAAACAGUUAUACAAACUAACUUAUUUUCUUUAUUUCUGAAAUCAAUGCAUGUAUAUAAUUAUAUACAUUUGAAAACAGUUUAAACUAUCACCUAGGUGUACCCUUAUUUCCGUCAAUUCCUUAUAUCCGUCAAUUCCUUGCAUCACCAUGGGUGACACAUACUCGCAGAUCUCAGUGACACGAAGUCAGUCUGAGCCGCAACUCGCAGGAUUCAGGGGACCGUAGUCCACCUUUAUCCGCAGUACUCGCUCCACACGAGUUCGAGUACCAAGGAACUCGUGGGGCAACUGUCAAGCAUGCUGAUUAAACCGAAGGCAACAAAUAUAAUCCGAAGGCAACAUUUAAUAUCUGGGUACUAGGUGGUUUGAGAAAAUAUAAAGUUUCUGAAGAAAAUCUGUUGAAUAAUUAACUUUCUGUAAUCUUUAAAAUUCUGCUGCCAUUUAUAUGAUAAUUAAAGAGAAUAUCUGUUCAUAUAAGCUUUAAAGGAAAUUUCACUUGGCAGCAUGCAACAUAAAAUAGUUAACAGCAUAAAACAGCUUAUAACUGAAACUGAACAGUUUAAAUUCAUUAUUAAAACAAAGAGUCCACUCACUGAUAGUCUGAGCUCGCUGGACCUCUUGAAGGUCCCUCCUGCGGGUCAACUGGUACCCGGGUGCCUGAUUCAAUGACCAUAUAUUCUAUUAAUACUGUGGGAGCAUAUAUUUUCGUCUCCAAUCAGGGCACGCCACGUGGAAAAGAAGAUUAUCUCUUUAAUUAAUUAAUUAAAUCAGUUUAUCUGGCUAAUUAAUUAAUUGAGAUAAAUAUCUUAAUUAAUAUGAUAUUAUCUUUAUUUAAAGAGAUAAUAUCAUUAAUUAAGAUAUUAUCACAAUAAAGAGAAGAUAAUAUCAUUUAAAUCAGAUAUUAUCUUCUUAAGAGAUAAUGUCUAUUUAAUUCAGAUAUUAUCAGGCCCAUUCCUGCGAAACCCUAGCCCCGAGGCUCCUAUAAAUAGACGACCUCAUUCAUCAUUCAAGGUACAUCUAAACCUACUCCUUAUACCCGAGAAAAAGACCCGAAGCUCUCUCUCCAUCUCCACUCUCCAUAUUUUCUCCCCAAGGCUCCGGCCACCACACACGGCUCCGGCCACCCGGUUUACACCCUACAUAAAACUCCGUACCCUUUGCUUAGCUAUUGUUUUCCUACAAACACUCGAACUAACUUAGGCAUCGGAAGGCCUUUGACCAACACCCCCCGGGUGUGGUCUAUUUACUCCAGUCUUUUUUACAGGAAUCGAGGAAGAGAGAGAAGGAAGAUCGAAGGUUAAAGGAUCUAGAAGCGAAUAUUCUCCCGUGAGAUUAUUUGCACAAACAUUUGGUGCUUUCAUUGAGAGUGCGAGUUAUACUCAACGCGUGCUCAAGGAAUCCGUUCCUCCUAUUUUCCAAUCCACCGAAGCCUUCCAAACAACCAUGGUUGGAAGCAAGCGCACGAGGAGCAAAACCGCCGCUAUGGCUCAAUCCGUGAAGGCCCAAAGCUACUCCUCCCACGAUCCCGCGAUCGACAUGGCGGCCCCACCACCUCUCGCCGCCAUGAACCCUCAACAGCCACCCCGUGUGACUGGAACCACCGUACCGGCCUCCACCGCCGUCGUACCGUCUCAAGGCCCCAUGGCCGGACCUAGCCACCUUCAUAGCACCACCGUUGAGCAUGGUGGAACCUCACAUCCAGUUGGGCUCACUACCACCGUCGACUUUGGCCCAAUCUUGGAGCAACUUCAACCAUUCCCUCCAUUGCCUCCACGCUCGACGCAUGCUCCCACGCACACAUCCAACGAAAACCUAGCCCGUGUGCAAUUAGGCUCUACACAUUUCUCUCCUCCCGAUCCACGAAGUCAAGCAGACCUUAAUCUGAGAGUUGACCAGCUAACUCAGAGAAUGGACGACCAAAACAAUUUGAUGAGGCAAUUCCUCAAUCAAAUAAAUUUGGCUCAAAACCUUGGCCUUGGACAACAGGGCGAAGAGAGAAGGAUAAACGAACGCGCCGAUAGGCAGUUCGGUGGGAACCAAGCAGGUCAAGCAGGAGUAAGCAGACAAGGAAAUGCGCAACAACGAGAUCAGCUCGCGGACAUGUCGCAAGCAUCCGCAAGCCACACUCAAAGCAGACGAAGUUUCCCAUCCAGAUUGAAUUUAGGGACCAACGUGCGCGAUAGGCUGGGCCCAAGACCUGACAUCCACGCUCGCCUGGGCCAGCAUGAAGACGUUCAUGAAAGGCUAGGCUCCCAGGGAGGUCAACUUGACGGCCAUCGAGACGAGGAUCGAGAAGAAAGGCGCUCUGCUGCCCGCUCACAGAGAAAUAUUCACGAAAGGAUAGGCCCCCAGGGAGGUCAGCUCGACAAUCAUCACAAUGAGGACCGUGAAGAAAGGCGCUCCGCUACUCGCUCUCGAAGAACCAAUUCUCGUUGCCAAACUACUGGAAAUCCCUCGCAAGCGCAGUCCACCAACACGCCGUCUAGACAGCGUAACCGAGAAGGUCGACCCUCGCAAACCAAUGAGGAAGUCAAUCAGCAUCGCCUAAAUCGCGAAGGUCAUCAACAUGACCGACUAGCCAUGCGUGCAGAAGACGUUGAGAAGCUUGUGAAUAACCGACUUCGAGACUUAAAGAUUGACGGAAAUUUCGAAGACGCACUACGCAUUGAGGUAGACCAAGCAAACUCCUCACCUUUCACCGCCAAAAUCGAGCAGGCUCCCCCCCCAAAAAAGAUUCUCAACGCCCUCUUUCACAUGCUUCAAAGGCGAUUCCGACCCUGAAAGUCAUCUGAAGCAUUUCAAGAGCCUUAUAAUCCUCUACAAAGCCGAAGACGCGCUGAUGUGCAAGGUGUUUGCAAUGACUUUGCGAGGAGCAGCUCAAGAUUGGUUCCAUAUCCUGCCAUCCGGGUCGAUCAACAGCUUCAAGGAGCUUACUUACGUCUUCACUAAAGAAUACACUUCUUAUCGGACGAUCAAGAAGAACCCUGACCAUCUGUUUAACCUACGCAAGAAGCCCGAGGAAUCCCUUCGAGAUUACAUCAAGAGGUUCAAAGCAGAAAAGGCCAACAUCGUAGGGUGCGAUGACCAAAUCGCAUCCUCUGCAUUCAAGAAAGGUCUUCCAGCAGAACAUGACUUAUACCGCGAGCUGACUAUCACUCCCAGCCAGACUCUGGCAGAGGUCUUCACGACUGCAGAACGCUACGCACUCUGGGAUGACGAUCGAAUCGCCGCGAAGAAGUCCACUGAGCAGGAAGAUCGACCGGCCAAACGGGCAGAACAAAGAGGCGACAGGCUUGGCAGCAGGGACAAAGACAAAGGCAGGUCACGCCCACAAAGAGAGGCCACGACGAAAGAGAACUACACCAAGUUCUCUAUCCCCAUACAUCAAAUUCUAGCCCAAGUGAAGAACAAACCUUGGGUAAAAAGACCGCCACCCUUGAAAGGAGAUCCGGACAAGAGGGAUACCAGAAAAUAUUGUGCCUUCCAUGCGACACAUGGGCACAAUACGAAUAAUUGCUUUGCUUGGAAAGCGCAUCUCGAAGAACUCGUAAGAGAAGGUCAUUGCACGGAGUUCAUCGCGAAGCAAGCCAUCCAGCAGAUAGAAGACCGUGAUACCGCCAAGGAGCCACCCCAGAAGGUCAUAAGGAUUAACACAAUCCUAGCCGACUCUGAGAAGUCCGGACUGACCAACAAAGAAAAGAAGAGGAAGAUCAAACAGGCUACUAUGAUCUCCCAAGUCUCAACUAGUUUCUCACUAGCAGAAGACGAUCCCGUGAUCGGCUUUCAAAAGAAAGACUUAAUCGGCCUUGAUCUACCGCACAACGACGCCCUUGUCAUCAGCAUUCAAAUCGCUCAGGCCAUGGUCGACCGAGUCCAUAUAGAUGAGGGCAGUGCAGCCAACAUCCUACAAUUGGCAGUCGUCCAACAGAUGGGCUUAGAGGCAAAGAUCAAUAAAUCAGCCAAGUCGCUGACUGGUUUCAAUGGCGCAACGACAGUUACCGUUGGCACGAUAGAUCUCGACGUCUACUCUCCACCUGUAAUCAGCUCGCAAACGUUCAUGGUCAUUGAUGAAAUCUCACCCUACAAUGGCAUUCUAGGCAGACCAUGGAUCGGCAAGAUCAACGCCAUCACCUCUGCCACACAUCAGAAGAUUCGCUACCCAAUCCCUGGGGGCGGUAUCGGCCAGAUCAACAGUGAUCAGGCAAUGGCAAGAAAAUGCUCAGCUCAAGGGCUGAAGAAAAGCAAGCAAACACAGUUCCUCCCUGUGAAUCAGGCAGAUCUAAAGGGAGUAGAACAAGCAGAGGAGAAAGCAGAUCUCAUUCCUGACGGCCGAGCAGACCAGAAAGGAAAAGGAAUAGCUACUCCCCAAUAGCAAUCAAAGAAUCAGGACCAAGUCGAGGGAAUCUGUCCGGAGGUCUCUCCUGAAGAGGGAUGGAAGCCUGAAGAGGACGUUGAGCUAGUACCCCUUGAUCCUGACAAGCCAGAGAGAAAAGCGCGGAUCGGCUCGCGCCUAAGCCAUGAGGAAAAGAUAGAGCUUGCAGCCUUCCUCCGGAACAACAAAGACGUAUUUGCAUGGUCGCCAUCCGACAUGCCUGGCAUCGAUCCCCAGAUCAUCUGCCAUCCAUCAAACCUGUAGCGCAGAAGAGACGUAACUUCGCCCCCGAGCGGGUUGCCAUCAUUGAAACCGAGAUCGAUAAGCUUCUAGCUGCUGGUUUCAUCGAAGAAGUCUCCUACGCAGAAUGGCUGGCGAACAUUGUUCUAGUGGCAAAAAAAGAUAAAGGUCUGUGGAGAGUGUGCGUCGACUACACCGACCUCAACAAGGCAUGCCCUAAAGACAACUUUCCACUGCUUAGAAUUGAUCAGCUCGUCGAUUCAACUUCCGGCAACCAACUGCUAAGCUUCAUGGACGCCUACUCCGGCUACAACCAAAUCAUGAUGCAUGAAGAUGACAAGGCUAAAACCUCUUUCAUCAUCGAAAGAGGUACAUACUGCUACAAAGUCAUGCCCUUUGGGCUGAAGAACGCCGGAGCAACCUACCAAAGGCUGGUGAACAAAAUUUUCAAGGAGCAAAUCGGCAAGACUAUGGAGGUCUACGUAGACGACAUGCUAGUCAAAGCUCCCGAGCGAGCAGACCACAUCAAGAACCUUGCCGAGGCAUUCAGCCUACUCCGAAAAUACAACAUGAAGUUGAACCCGAGCAAAUGCACGUUUGGAGUCUCGACCGGCCGAUUCCUGGGAUACUUAGUCACCCAAAGAGGAAUUGAAGCACAUCCAAAUCAAAUCAAGGCUAUACUCGACAUGACGUCACCUGCCACAACAAAGGAGAUACAAAGUCUAACGGGUAGGGCGGCAGCCCUCAACCGAUUCCUCUCAAAAUCUACCGACAAGUGCAGGCCAUUUUUUAAAGCCUUGAAGAAAGGACAUAGGGACAAGUGGGAUGACGAGUGUGAAGUAGCUUUUUAAAACUUGAAAACCUACCUCACUUCACCUCCCUUACUCUCAAAACCGAUACCAGGCGAAGACUUGUACAUCUACCUGGCGGUGUCCGACUCAGCUGUCAGCUCAGCUCUCAUCCGAGAAGAGCUGGGGCCACAACAUCCGGUAUUCUACACUUCAAAAGCUCUCCUUGAUGCAGAGACUCGCUAUCCGAAAAUGGAGAAGCUCAUUUUUUCGCUUGUAGUUUCCGCGAGAAAACUAAGGCCCUACUACCAAGCACACCGGAUAAUUGUCAUAACAGAAUUUCCUUUGAGAUCGAUCCUCCACAGCCCCGACGCUUCUCAGCGACUCAUGAAAUGAGCUAUCGAACUCAGUCAAUACGACCUCCUCUACCGGCCGAAGACUGCUAUAAAAGCCCAAGCUUUAGCAGAUUUUAUUGUAGAGUUUACUCCGACAGCCGAAGAAGAGAAGAUGGUCAUGAAAAGCAAGGAAAAAGCAGACGACACCUCCCCUGCCGAUUCAAACCUACCUAACGACAUGUGGCAAUUGCAUGUAGACGGAGCAUCAAAUCAUAAAGGAUCAGGGGCAGGCGUCGUCAUAACCACCCCAGACGGAACCUUGUUGGAACAAGCCAUCACACUAGGCUUUUCUGCGUCAAACAACGAGGCAGAAUAUGAGGCAUUGCUCGCAGGACUGCGCCUAGCAAAAGAACUGACAAUCAAGAGAUUAGCCAUCUACUCAGACUCCCAGCUGAUCACGAAUCAAGCCUCAGGCGAGUACAUGGCAAAACAUCCAAGAAUGAUUCAGUACCUCGACAAAGUCCAAGGACUUUUGAAAGAAUUUCCUACUUUCACCAUCCAACAAGUUCCACGGGCAGAGAACACUCAUGCAGAUGCGUUGGCAAGCCUAGGAUCAGCGCUGGACACCCAGUUCAGACGCUCCAUCCCAGUCGAACACCUUGACCGACCAAGCAUCGAUGAAAUAAAGCCAAUCGACUCAAUGCAGAUCGAUAAAGACCCCAGCUGGCAAGACCCCAUCAUCGACUACUUGGUGAAUGGAAAUCUGCCAACGGAUAAGUCCGAAGCUAGGAAGGUCCAACAGAAAGCCGCGAGAUAUUACAUGCAAGGCGACAAACUCGUUCGCAGAUCAUACUCCGGCCCUCAUCUCACUUGCAUAAAGUACCCUCAAACACUUGAGGUCCUCUGCAAAAUUCAUGACGGCGAGUGUGGCAACCACUCUGGGGGCAGGUCACUCGCCCAGAAGGCUCUAAACGUAGGCUAUUUCUGGCCUACUGUGCGCCAUGACUCUACUGAAUAUGUCAAAAGAUGUGAUCGCUGCCAACGGUACAAACCAGUUCCUAGUCUGCAUGCCGAAAUCUACCAUCCGCAGAACAGUCCGUGGCCUUUCAUGCAAUGGGCCAUCGACUUAGUAGGCCCCAUGCCAACGGCACUUGCCAAGAAAGAAAUGAUGAUCGUCGCCACUGAUUACUUUACUAAAUGGAUCGAGGCCGAAGCUCUAUCCUCUACUAAAGAAGAUGAUGUGGAACGAUUUAUCUGGAGAAAUAUUAUCUGCCGGUUUGGCUGCCCACAAUCACUAGUCACCGACAAUGGCUCGCAAUUCAUCGGCAAGCAGAUCACUGCCUUCUACAAAAAGUACGGCAUCAAGCAGCAUUUAUCUACCCCAAGAUAUCCUCAAGGCAACGGCCAGGCCGAGGCAUCCAAUAAAAUAAUAUUGGACUGUCUAAAGAAGAGAUUAGAAGGCGCCGAAGGAAAAUGGGUAGAUGAGCUCCCUGGCGUACUAUGGGCUUAUCGCACCACCAAGCGAAGAUCAACUGGCGAAACCCCGUUUUCCCUCGCCUAUGGAACUGAAGCGAUCAUUCCUCCUCACAUCACUGUCCCUUCUAUAGGCAUCGAAGUGGGCAGUAUUGAGCAGAACUCCGAGCAGAUGAGACUCAACCUUGACUUACUUGAAGGCGAGCGCGAGAAGGCCAUUGUCCGAGUCGCCUCCUAUCAACAGCGGUUGAAGUCUUACUACGACAAAAGAGCCAAGAUCAGACAAUUUCAACCAGGCGACCUUGUCCUAAGAAAGGCCUUCAUCACUGCACAAAGACAAGGAUCUAAAAAGAUGAAACCCAAUUGGGAAGGCCCUUACAUAAUCAGCCGGUCCGGGGGCAGAGGAAGCUAUACGCUUGACACCAUGGAAGGGAAGGAGAUUCCGCGACAAUGGAACGCCUACCAUCUCCAAAGAUACUAUCCAUGACGCUUCCUCCUACCUGCUCAGUCCCCAGCAGACGACUGAGUACUGCACAUUUCUGAAAAAGAGAAGCAACUACUGCAAAUUCCAGAAUGUGCCACAACAAAAGACAGUUGCCCAUAAGGAGCGUCCUAAGGGAGACGCAGGGUGACGACAAAACGCGUCCGUUUGGAGACGUAGCCCUUUAAAAAAGCGUCCUAAGGGAGACGCAGGGUGCGCCAGGAAUUUCCUAAGGGAGAUAUCCAGGUUCCUAUCCGUUUUCUAAGGGAGGCAGGAUAGUCACACAGUUGCCCAUAAGGAGCGUCCUAAGGGAGACGCAGGGUGACGACAAAACGCGUCCGUUUGGAGACGUAGCCCGCUAAAAAAGCGUCCUAAGGGAGACGCAGGGUGCGCCAGGAAUUUCUUAAAAGGGGGUCACCAUGCUCUCUGCGGGAAAUAUCCAGGUUCCUAUCCGUUUCCUAAGGGAGGCAGGAUAGUCAAAAAAGUUGUCCAUAAAAAGCGUCCUAAGAGAGACGCAGGGCGACGACCAAAAGCGUCCUUCGGGAGACGCAGCCCACAAAGCAGCAUCCUAAGGGGGUUGCAGGGUGUGCCAGGAAUUUCCUAAGGGAGGUAUCCAGGUUCCUAUCCGUUUCCUAAGGGGGGCAGGAUAGUCAGACAGUUGUCCAUAAGCAGCGUCCUAAGGGAGACGCAGGGCAACGACCAGAAGCGUCUUAAAGCGUUUUCUGGAAAAAUGCAGAAUACGCCCGGAGUCCCUCAAGGGGGACCCUGGCUUUUGCCAAAAUCCCAAAGGAAAUACACAGCAGGACACUAACCGGUUACUCAAGCAGUUUACAAGACAAUGUGCAAAUUGAAGUUGAAAAAAUAAAGACUGAAAUUUCCAUAGUAAAGCGACCAACCGGCCAAGUUCAAACAAAAAGAAGAUGGUCAAAACAAGACCAAUUAUUCUAAACAAAAAGCAGACUACAAAAGCUGAAAAGAAAUAAAGAAGUCUUCGUCUACUCCGAAACGCCAGCAGGAGACCCCUGAUCUGCAGCCUCUUCAGCGUCCACCUGAUCAGCCACGCUCUCAGCAGCUCCACAUGCAUGAUCUAUGACGUCUGCUGCCGCCUCAUCAGCUGCAUCAUCCUCUGCUCCAUCUUCUUCAGCUACCGCCUCUUCGGCCACCUGCUCUUCAGCCCCUUCGGUGUUCGCAGCAUUAUCCUCCUCACCUUGCACAGGGGGCAAGUCAGGAUAGAGCAUCUCGAUGUCUUCAUCUCCAAUGGCAUAGAAGGGAUCAUAUCCAAUUGUGCAGUCCAAGUAGCCCAGCUUGUACGCAUCCAUGACAGCAUCGGACUUGGAUUCUUCAGCAGACUUAUGAUAGGCGUGAAAUCUAGCCAAAAGCUUCUCAUAACUAUGAGAGAUGUCGGCAUUCUUGCGCUCAAGGCGGAAAUAAGCAUCUUUUCGACUUGCCAAGUCAACAGCAGAAGAGCUCAGCUCGGAAUCUUUCUCAGUAAGGGAACUCUUCAGCUCAGAUAUCAUCGCCCGCAAAUCAGACGUCUUCUUCUCAUAACGAGUCUGCUCGGCAGAAAGCUUGCUAGCUAGCUCAGCAUUCUUCUUCUCCAACUCACUAAGCUGAGCAGAAGAGGGGGCAACAGCAGACGACGAGUUCCGGAUGGUCUCCGCAGCAAAAACCACUCCUUUUUGAAGCAGAUGAAAUGUUGCUUCUCUUUGUUUUUCCAAGGAAAGACUUGAAAAAGUACCGAGAUCACCAGCCUGACGGACUUGAUCAACCAGCUCAGCACAAGCGGAUGGACUUGAUAGAAAGUGCGUCUUGAGCAGAUCAGACACGUCUGCAUCCCCUGUAGGGCUAGGCUUGUCCACCUUUGGAUCAGCCGCUGAUGUCGCAGAAGAACCUUUUCCCCGAGCAGAUGACUCUCUUGCUUUCUUAGCCUCUGCCAACCUUACUUCCAAAGGAACUGACGACGAUGAAUCAACUCCAUGCUUGACUGCUUGUGACUCAACAGUUGGAUCAUGAUGGUUGGAUGGAUGAGCAGACCUCGCACAUCGACCUCCACUCUUCGACUGGUGUAAACGACCCGAACUUCGGAGUGGAAAAUCAGCAUCUCUUGGCUUCUCAACAGGUGAGCUGGACCGUGCACGAACUACGUCACAGAGCAGAUCACGAUCUCCAAACUCAUCGGCAAGAGGCUUAAGGGGAACAUCCCUAAUGUUGCGCAUACCACCAAUCUUCUUGCUAUCUGCACCAACAAGAUGUUUGACUCUGGCAGAUGACGCGGGAAUAGCUCCUACUUGGGUUUUCUCAGCAGAAGGGAACCUUGGCUUCUUCCUCAACGGAGACACAUUCCUCGCUCGCAAAGAAGUAGCUGGAGUUCUCGAAGACUUGACAUCGGCCUUCCUUUUUGGUGGGGGUUCAGCAAAGCACUCAUCCUGUUCAGCAGAUAGAUCAUCAAGGUCCGGACCAUUUUGCUUCCAUCUCUCGACAUCCUCGGCAGGGGGCAGACCACCAUCCUCCUCCACGCCCUUGCUUCAGGCCCAGCACGCAUAUGCUCCAGCCCAGGCCAUGUAGCACCAAGACCAGCAUGCACAUCAUGCUCCAUCUGAUCCCAGCAUCAAUUCCCCAGCUAUUUGGCAGCUAUCGCUCACGAAUUGCAACUCAUGCUGGACCAUCUCCUUGCUGCAAAAAAAAAAUAAAAAUAAAAAUAUAUAUACAUAUAUAUAUAUAUAUAUUUUUACAGGCUCGACUUACUUGGGAUGCACGGCAACUCCUCUCCUCAACAAGCAGUACAAAUUCUCCAAAAUCUUUCUCAAGCCAGAAGGUAGAGAAGUUAAGUUUGCGAUAUGAGAAAGAGUGAAGAGAAGCCCUGUAUUUAUACAGGUUGGACAACCCGGGUCAAGAAGGAAUCACAAACUCAUUCCUACUGGGAAUCCAACUCCAACAACAGUCAGAAGCCUACACCAAUUGGAAAUCCAAUCUGCGAAGGAGUCCAACUCACAUAAUAAAGCCCAGACACAGUUGGAGAGCCCGAAAAAAAAAAAUAAUUUCAUCUCCUACAUGCCACACAAGCGCCAUGCAGAAGCUGGGGGCAUUUGUGGGAGCAUAUAUUUUCGUCUCCAAUCAGGGCAUGCCACGUGGAAAAGAAGAUUAUCUCUUUAAUUAAUUAAUUAAAUCAGUUUAUCUGGCUAAUUAAUUAAUUAGGAUAAAUAUCUUAAUUAAUAUGAUAUUAUCUUUAUUUAAAGAGAUAAUAUCAUUAAUUAAGAUAUUAUCACAAUAAAGAGAAGAUAAUAUCAUUUAAAUCAGAUAUUAUCUUCUUAAGAGAUAAUGUCUAUUUAAUUCAGAUAUUAUCAGGCCCAUUCCUGCGAAACCCUAGCCCCGAGGCUCCUAUAAAUAGACGACCUCAUUCAUCAUUCAAGGUACAUCUAAACCUACUCCUUAUACCCGAGAAAAAGACCCGAAGCUCUCUCUCCCUCUCCACUCUCCAUAUUUUCUCCCCAAGGCUCCGGCCACCACACACGGCUCCGGCCACCCGGUUUACACCCUACAUAAAACUCCGUACCCUUUGCUUAGCUAUUGUUUUCCUACAAACACUCGAACUAACUUAGACAUCGGAGGGCCUUUGGCCAACACCCCCCGGGUGUGGUCUAUUUACUCUAGUCUUUUUUACAGGAAUCGAGGAAGAGAGAGAAGGAAGAUCGAAGGUUAAAGGAUCUAGAAGCAAAUAUUCUCCCGUGAGAUUAUUUGCACAAACAAAUACAAUAUAGUAUUAAAUUAAAAACCCUACCCCCGGCUCCUAAAAGUACGUGCGUCAAUUUAAAGUGAUUCCUAUGCCCAUAAUAGCUUUCCUUCCACGUGGGAUAGUUUAGCGAUAUCUUGGGACUCAAAAAGCGCUAAAGUCCAAACAGUCAAUCCGGAACCCCACGGGUCCAUGACCUCACAAUAUGCUCUGGAUGCCGCUAGAAGGUCCAAUAUGUCUAGGACACAUGUCCCGAGGGUAUUCGCAUAAUUUCUAAACCCUCGCCCUAGGGUUCGCGUUUUCGGAGUAUCCGGGACUCCGAUCCGUCGAAUCCUACACGUUUCUAAAAUUAUCUAGAAUAACAUAUCUAAAAUUGAUUACGAUCCGACUGCUCAACAGUAUUGCCCGAUAAUCGCACAAUAUGGAAAAUCCGUUCGAGGCUCAAAUGGUAUCCAAAUUGAGAUCCGCGAAUUCCUAUGCGCUCGUGAUGACCUAAGGAUCGCAUCAGAACACAGUGUCACGGCACCACCCUCGCCCACGCGCCGGCAGUGAUGGGUGUCCAAAGCGAUAACGCAUCGCCGAAAAAUCGUAAAACCAAGGCUCCAAACUCCUAUCCUAGGUAUAACACCAUAUUUGGAACCACUUUUGUUCUUGGACCAACCCCAAAAACUGACCGGAAGUGGCCGAACACGGAGGCCGAAAGUCGGCCGAAUUUCAAUUUGCUAAUUGAGCUAGCUACGGUGAAAAUCAAUGCAAACCUACCCAACCAUCAGCUAGAACAUGGAAAAUAGGUAGAAAUCCAUACCUUACUCGACAAAUUUGGAGGAGAAUUGAAGGAGAACGAAUGGUUGGAAGUUUUGACAAAACCGGCGGAAUUCCUGCCGUUUUCGGCGACUGGCGAGCGGCGAGCGGCGGGCAUGAGCUGCGACGUGACGGCGGGGUCGGGCCGGUCAGGUUGGUACCGGUGUUGGGGCUUGUGGUGGCCGGUAGUGGUGGCGUUGCACUUGGAGGGUGACGGGAGGGAGAGAACGAAAACAGAGAGGGAGGAGGGCGCGAGGAGAGAGAGAGAGAGAGAGAGAGAGAGAGAGAGAGAGAGAGAGAGAGAGAGAGAGAGAUGAGGUUUUAUAAAAAUUCUGAUUUUUUAAUUUACCAUUUUGCCCCUCGUGAUAUUUUAAUCGUAUUUUCUUCGUUAAAACUCCGAUUCGAGCUCACUUCGUGUCUAUGAACUCGUGUCGUCGUGCUCCACGCAACGGUGUAUGUAGAAUUGUCAAAGUCCUUUUCGGUCAAAAAGUCAACUUUGGGUUCAUAAUUUAGUCAAAGGGCAAAAUUGUCUUUCUGCAUAAUAAAUUACUAAUUAAAUAUGAAUUUUAGGUUUGGGUCAUUACAGUACAGACUUUGUGUAAUACAAAAGUUGGAAUAUAUGUAGUUGUUAUAUCCAAACCUUAUAUAUGUGGACAACUGAAACAUUAUUAAAAUAAAUUUAGUUAUAAAACAUUGGUAAAUCAAUAUAUGCAAACCCUUUUAAUAAUAAUUUUAAUUUUUUUUUUUGACAAAACAUGUUUACAAAAUGAAAAUGAUAAAACAUUUGUUAUAAAACAUUGAUAAAUAAACAUAUCCAAACCAUUUUCAUACAAAGUUUGAAAAUUAUUGACGCCAAACAUUUUUCAAAAAUGAAAAUCCUUGCACGACGAAGUACACCUCGUCGCGCAAAGUUUGCACGACCCAGAAUACACUCGUCGCGUAAAGUUAAAACAUUGCACUUCAAAUUAUCAUCCGUCCCGCGAUGGAAUUUUGCGCGACGACAGGUUUACUCUCGUCGCGCAAAUAUAUAUUAUUUUAUAAUAUAUUAUAUAUACACAUAUAUAUUUGAAAUUGACGAUCAAGUUAGUUCAUUGUAUUCAUAUAGGGUCAUGGAGUGUAGCUGUAAAAAAUCAUCAAAAUCGGAGUUAAAAUAACCGUUAAAUCAUGACUUUUCAUUUAUAACCGUUCAAAAGUUUUGUCCCGUUACUUGAUCUCUGAAUAUUUUUUUUUUCCGAUUUUUGGGGUCUAAGAUCUCGAAGUAUAAACAAACAAGUUUGACGGCUGGAUUAUUGAAACUACUUUCGUAGAAUGCGUAUGCCAUCAAAACCAUAUAUUCACCAACAAUGAAUAGUUUACUUAUACUUUCGUUAAAUAUAACAUAAGAUUAUGUGAUAUCACCCUAGUGUAAACAUCUUAAAUUGAAGAUCAAAUUCAGUAAUUGUAUAAAAAUAAGGUCAAGAAAAGUAGCUGUAAAAAAUCAUAAAAAUCGGAGUUAAAAUUACCGUUAAAUCAUGACUUUUCAUUUAGAACCGUCGAAAAAUUUUGUCCCGUUACUUGAUCUCUUAACGUUUGUUUUUUCAGAUUUUUGGCGUAUAAAAUCUCGAAGUAUAAAAAAACAAGUUUGCCGGUUGGAUCAUUAAAACUAGUUUCGGGUUUAGGGUUUCGGCGGUUUAGGGUUUAGGGUUUGCGCGACGAAUAAGUUUCGUUGGUCGCACAAAGCCUGCAAAGAAUAGUCUUGCGUGACGAACUGAGGCUUAUUCGUCGCGCAAUCUCAGCCAGCCAUUUCACCCUCUUCCUCCUUGAACACUUGGUCAAAAUUUUUUUUGAGUUUACAGAAAGCAGACUUGUGCGACGCUGUCAAUAUUCGUCGCGCAAUCUCUCUGCCAAUAAACCCUAAACCCCAAAUUUUGGCGGAAUUACAACGUUGCGCGACGAAUAAGUUUCUUUGGUCACACAAUGCCCACAGAGAACAGUCUUGCGCGACGAAUCUAGGCUUCGUCGUCGCGCAAUCUCAGCCAUCCCUUUCACCCUCCUCCUCCUUGGACACUUAGUCAAAAUUUUUUUUUUCGAGUUUACAGAAAGCAGACUUGCGCUACGCUGUCGAUAUUCGUCGUGCAAUCUCUCUGCCAAUAUACCUAAACCCCAAAUUUUGGCAGAAUUACAACAUUGCGCGACGAAUAAGUGUCAUUGGUAGCACAAAGCCCGCAGAGAACAGUCUUGCGCGACGAAUCUAGGCUUCAACUGUUCAUAUUCGUCGCGCGCACAAAGUUUUCAAUCUCUCCCGCUAAACUCUAAGUCCUAAAAUUUUGGCAAAUUGACAAUAUUGCGCGACGAAAUACGAUACUGUGCGUCGCGCAAAAACUACCCUGAUACCAAAUUUUGGGGAUUAACAACAUUGCGCGACGGAAGUUAUACUUAUGUCGUUGCGCAAGAGUCAAUUCAAAUAUUUUGCGUGACGCUUUUGCUUGUUUGUCGCGCAAAAUCGAAUAAAAUUGCAGAAACGACGCGAUGACCUCCUUCUUCCCCAGAUUAGUUUUUUUGCCCUAACUCUCUCUCUCUUUCUCCGCCGUCAGCUCAGCCCCUUACCCAAGUGGAUUUUGGACGACGCCGCCACAACGGUGGUACCCCGGAGCUUCCCCGCCGUCACCAUUGACCCAUCCGCCCUAAUUUUCUCGGUUUUCACCGAAUCUGCGCCGCCAUCGUUCUCUCUCCUCCGGCGACCAAAUCCGACACAUGAGGUAUGGUUUCUGUCCUAUUUUUGAUGCUUUAGCUGAUGGUUGGGUAGGAUUUAUGUAAUUGUUGCAAUAGGGCAGUGGAUUUGAAACCCUAAGUUUCGGCCGAUUUUUGAAUUUUAAUUCUGGCCACUUCUGGCCAUUUUUCGGGGUAGGUCUGAGAACAAAAGUGGCUCCAAUUGAUGUUUUGAACCUAGGGUAGGAACCUUGGCCCUUAGUUUUUAGAAAUUUCCGGCGAUUGGUAUCGCUUUGGACACCCACGCGUUUGGUGGCGCGUGGGUUACUGUAGUAGUCAUGCAUUGGGUCCCAGUGCAAUCCUCUAGUUGUCACGAGCGCAUAGGUGUUUUUGGAUUGGAAUUUGGUUACCGUUUGAGUCUCGAACGGAUUUUGCCUAUUGUGCGAUUUCUGAGUUUGUUGUGUUCGGACCGUUGGAUCGAACUCAAACUCACGUAUGGUGUACCUUGUAUUUCUAGGAUCGUCUAGGAUUCGGCGGAUCGUGGAUCGGAGUCCCGAAUACUCCGAACUGACAAACCCUAGAUCAAGAAUCUUAAUAAAAUUGUAUGUGCUUUCAAAUAUUCGUAUAUUUUAUUAAUUUGUAUGUGUAUUAAUGAAAUUGUGCAGAUGUCAGACCUGAUUAGACGUCGUAGGGCGGUGAUGACUACGCAGAGUUCAGAGCCCCCAGCUCAGCCGACAUUUGCUGCCACUGCGCCAGCACUGAUGGACCACUUAGCAGUUGGUCCCGCGGGGUCCCAGGCGCUUACUUCAUCAGCUUCAUCAGUAGCACAACUUGUUAGCGCCAGGCGGCGUCAUCGGCCCCGCCAGCACCACCGACACCACAUCCACUGAUGCGUCGGGGUCACAGCCAGGUAUAGAUUUCCUUAAACUCCAGUUAUUUUUAUUUUUGUUUUUGUUUUUAUUUUUAUUUGUGUGUGUAUUUUAUAGUUAAAUUUGUUAUUUAUUUAACAUUAAUGUCAUCUUUCUUUGCAGCUAAAAAGAACACCCGAGGCCGUGUCGGCAGUUGAAGACGGCGAAGGUCACCCGGGCUGCAUCGACGGCGGAGUUGUAUAGCUCCUUGGUCCACGACAUUGGUCAUGUCAUUCGGAGCCAUUGCCCGAUGAAAUGGAAGUCUUGGAAGGUGAUGCCUGAUGAGACCAAGACGGAGGUUCGCGGCCAGUUGUCGGUAUGUAGGCCUUUUAAUUCUUUUUCUUUCAAACUUUAUAUUUCUAUUAUUUAAAUGUAUGUAAUUAAUUUAUUGUAGACGAACUACAACUUGGAGGACCUGGACAACGAGUCGUUGGUGUACGUCAACAGACUCUUCUCUGAGAGGCACAAACAGUGGAAGAGCGACUUGCACCACUAUUUUGAGGCGUUUGAUGAUCCGGAAGUCGCUCUUCAAGAGGGUUGCCCGAAGGAGCUUGAGGGGCGGGAGGAUAGUUGGGCGUGGCUCUGCGCUCAUUUUCAGGCGCCCGCUUUGUGGUAAUUUGUAAUAUGAAUUUCAAAUUUAUUAUAUUUUUCUUACUAAUAUUUUUUUUAAUGUUUUAUAUUUAAUUUCAAUUUCAACUAAUAUGUUUUAUUUUUUGUAUAACAGAAUAAAGCCAAAGUCAAUAAGGGCAAUAGGAAGAAGAAGACUUUUCUCCAUCAUUAGGGUUCCAGGCUCUUCUCCUAUAUGAUGGAUGUACGGCGGCAGGUAAUAAUAAAAUAAUUUUUAUUUAAUUUUUAAUAUUUAAUUAUUCUUAAUUUAUUUUUUCGUACUAAUAUUUUUCUUCUCUUGUUCAAUUUAGGGGGGUCCAAAUUCCCAGAGAUCGACGUCUUUGGCGACGUUUAUGUUCGACCUGAGAAUGAGUUGGCCGAGUCCCUUCAUGUAAGUAUUAUUUAAUUUUAAUUCUUAUGUUACGCAUUCAAGUUUAAAGGUUAUUAUAUGAAUGUUUUAAUUUAUAUUUUAUGUUAUGCUAAACAGACGACGAUGGUGGGGAGGAGCCAGUUGGUUCUUCAGGAGUCCGCCUCCCAACUUCCUCCCGAUACUCUGAUCGAGUCUGUGGAUCCGCCACAGGAUGCCGGGUUUCAGAUCUUGACGGAGACAUUGGAUCAGACUCUUGGGAGGAGUCCGGGGACAUAUUGUCGAGGGAUGGGGAAUGCCAGGCGGAGGGAACCCAAACCCCGUUCAUCAGCGCAGUCAAACAGUCAGGUCACUGCUUUGACAGCACAGGUGGCCAUUCUUCAGAGUCAGAUGUCGGUGAUUCUGCAGUCCCUUGCACAGUCCGUCAUUCCAGUCCCGCAUUUUGAUGCGCUGACCUCCGAGCCCGUCCAUCCCGAGCAUCCCCACCAGACGACGGCCCCUGUAGACCCCCAGACCUCUGAACCGCAUGUGCCAAACGACAACGUAGAUUUUGGAACAUUAUUUGAUUAGUUUUUUUAUUUUCAUAAUUAUUUUUUAAAUAUUUCUGUUGCAGCAUACAUUUAUUUUAUAUAAUAAAUAUGUUCUUUACAAUUCUUUUAUUUAUUUAUUGGAAUUUCAUUUUAUUACCCAAAAAAACAAACCAAAUUUAUUUUUUUAUUAAAAAAAAGUAAUAUUAAAAUUAAAUAAUAAUUAUAUAUAUUAAUUUUGCGCGACGAAAUCUUUCUCGUCGCGCAAAUUUAUAUAUUACGAAAUAAAAAUGUUUCAUUUUUUUUUAAAUACAUAUAAUUUAUUCUUGCGCGACGAACAUUUUCGUUGCUCAAAAAGGUUUUGCGCGACAACAGUUUUUCGUCGCGCAAAAUGUGUUGACACGAAUUGCGCGACGAAGAUCUCUUUGUGCCGCAAAUAUCUAAGACACGUAUCGCGCGAUGAACAUUUUCGUCGCGCAAAAAUGUAUGCGCGACAACAUUGUUUCGUCGCGCAAUAGUUGUAGACAUGAAUUGCGCAACGAAGAACUCUUGGUGCCGCAAAUGUCUACGAGACGUAUUGCGCGACGAAUAUUAUUCGCCGUGCAUUGUUGUGGUGACGAACCUUCUUUCGUCGCGCAUAAGUUUGUGCGACGAACUAUUGCGUCGUCUCUGAACCUUUUGUGUAACGAAGGGUAACCGUCGCACAAAUUUGCACGGCGAGUGUUACGCGCGACGAAUUUUCUGUCGCGCUUGAGUUUGUGAGACUAAAUUUAACUCUGCGCGACGAAAUUGUCUUCGUCGCGCAAAUCGUAAAAUGUAGUAGUGAUAUAAUAUAUAUGAAGGAAAGAUCGAUGCUUAGUUCCUGCAUGUAUGAUUAGUCAGCCAUAUGUUAAUAAUUGAGUCGGUCUCUGUCCAAUCUAACGCACAGAUAUACAGGUUAGGCAGAAAGGAUGGCAAUUAGUGAGUGAGACCCUGGACCCAAGUGAAUCAGAUUCCACACCGAUUAGGUUUAUGAACUUUAACAGUUGAUAUGAAUCAUUUCCUAAUCUUUCAAUAUAAUAUAAUAUUUACAAUCGCAAUCGAGGUCUAUUCUAAUAAAAAAGAGCCUUAACGUAUAUACCAGUAGCAGUAGUCUUAAUUUGAACUCCCAUAAGUGUGUAUAAGUAUAUGAAUAAUGCUUGCAUUCAAAGAAAAAGAAAAAGAUACCAAAGUCGGCUAGUGUCCCACGACCUUGCAUUCAAUAAUGCUUGGGUCCUUCCUCUUGAGUCCUAGCAUCAAUAAUAGGCUCUACAAAAUAGUCACUCAAGUAUGUAGAUCUAUUUCAUAAGGUUCAAUGGGCAUAUUUCUGAUGAUAUCAACAUUAUUGUGGGAGCAUAUAUUUCGGCAGUCAAUACCCCAUACAUCAAAAAGCUCCACAAUGAGUAUGUUGUUCCAUGUCGUUUGAUUCCCGCAGCUUAUGUUCCCCAUCCUUUGGCACCUAUCACAUAAAUUAACACAAAAAUUAAACGCAUCUUUGAAUAGAGUGGGUCAAAAUAAACCAGAUUGUAGAACUUUAAGUGCUGUUUUCUUAGCUCCAAAGUGACCUCCACAAGCCAACUUGCGGCUAUGUUUCGGUAUGCUCUUCUUUUGCAAUAGACUUUCUAAUGAGUAGAUCGAGGCAAUGCUUGAAUAAGAAAGGUUCGUCCCAAAUAUAAUGUUUCACCAUAGAAAAGAACUUCUUGUCAUGAGAAGUUAGAUCAUUUCUAAUAACACCACAAGCAAUAUAAUUAACAAAAUCAACAUACCAUGGCUCUUUGGUGUUGGCAACAUAGAGUUUUUCAUCUGGGAAAGUUUCAUCCAAGGGUAGCACAUCUAAUCCUUUUUCUUCAACCACAAUUCUACUCAAAUAAUUAGCCACCACAUUCUCACUUCCCUUCUUAUCUCGAAUCUCCAAAUCGAACUCUUGCAGCAAAGGAAUCUAUCUAAUCAAGCAUGGUUUGGCGUUCUUAAUAGUAAGUAUCUAAGAGCUGCAUGGUCAGAAUAAACAAUUACUUUAGAAUCAACAAGGUAAGAACAAAACUUUUCUAAAGCAAAACCCACAACAAGCAACUCUUUUUCUGUUGUGGAGUAGUUGAGUUGAGCAUCAUUUAAGGUUCGACUAGCAUAAUAAAUCACAUGGGGAAGCUUGUUCUUCUUUUAACCUAAAACUGCACCAAUAGCAAAGUCAGAGACAUCACACAUUAUUUCAAAUGAUAAAGACCAAUUUGGAGCCAUGAUAAUAAGGGCUGAAGUAAGUUCCUUCUUCAAGGUAAUAAAAGCUUCCAUACAAGCUCAUCAAACUUAAAAACAGCAUCUUUAGCAAGCAAAUUACACAAUAGGCUUGGGAUGUUUGAGAAAUUUUGGAUGAACCUUUUAUAGAAUCUAGCAUGGCCUAGAAAACUUCUAACUCCCUUAACUGAGGAAGGAGGCAGUAGAUUUGAUAUGAGAUUGAUCUUAGUUUAUCCACUUCAAUUCCCUUGCUUGAAAUCACAUGGCCUAGCACAAUCUUACCAUGAAGUGACACUUCUCCAAAUUCAAAAUCAAAUUUGUUUCCUAGCAUCUUUUAAGCACUGGAGGCAAGUGGUGAAGACAAUCAUCAAAAGUGGAACCAAAAAUUGAAAAAUCAUCCAUAAAUACCUCAAUGAAUUGUUCCACCAUAUUUGAAAAUAUUGCCAUCAUGAAUCUAUGGAAAGUUGCUAGAGCAUUGCAUAAACCAAAUGGCAUCCUUCUAUAAGCAAAGGUACUAAAUGAGCAUGUGAAUGUGGUCUUUUCUUGGUCUUCUGGAGCAAUGGAAAUUUGAUUAUAACCUGAAUAUCCAUCAAGAAAACAAUAGUAAGCAUGGCUGGAAAAAUAUUCAAGCAUUUGAUCAAUAAAAGGCAAGGAAAAUUGAUAUUUUCUUGUGGAUGUGUUCAACUUCCUGUAAUCAAUACAAACUCUCCAACUGGUGAUAGUUCAUGUAGGAACUAGCUCAUUUUGCUCAUUCUUCACAACGGUGAUUCUAGACUUCUUCAGAACAACUUGCACAGGCCUCACCCACUUAGAAAAUGAAAUUGGGUAGAUGAUUCCUACAUCAAGUAGCUUUAAAACUUCUGCUCUAACCACCUCUUCCAUGUUGGGGUUUAAUCUUCUUUGGGCAUCACGGCUAGGUUUGCUAUCUUCUUCCAUUAGUAUCCGGUGCAUGCACAUGCUUGGGCUUAUACAUUUGAUAUCUGCUAUGGUCCAUCCAAGGGCUGUUUUAUGCUCUUUUAGAACUUUAAUUAAGCUCUUAUCUUCCUGUGAGGUGAGACUUGCAACAAUUAUAACAUGAAGAGUUCCAUUAACACCUAAAUAAGUAUAUUUAAGAUGACUGGGUAGAGGUUUAAAUUCUAGCUUCGGUGGGGUGAUAAUGGAUGGUUCCAAUUUCGUGGAGGAUGGUCCAAGAGGCUUGAGUGGUGGCCUAAAAGAUGGUGGGUAUGGCUGGAACACUUCUAGGGCAACAUGGUAGCUGAUGAUCUGAUGGCCAUUGGGUCAUGGCAAACUUAAUAUAUAUGUAUCUGGUUUACUAACUUUCAUUGUCUAUUUCUUUACAAUAACAUGAAUAUUGGGAUUCUUAGAAGAUCUUCUUUGUAAUUUAAUUUCUUCGUUUUAGAAAUAGUGUGGCAUAUAUAUGCUUACGAUGGCAAGUUUACGUAACAAAACAUUUCUGGCCUAUCUCAUGGUAAGCAAGGCCUGUGCUUGAUAUCUUCUUGGUAGGAUAAGUUAUUCUUGUUCAUAUAACAUUGCCUUAAUAAUAAUUCCACGUAGUGGAGAAAGCAUUUGCUUCUUGGCCAAACUACUUUAGAGCAUAUAUAGAUAUAAAGUAUGUGAAUGCGAUCCAUUCCAAUUUUGCAACAGAAAAAGGUACCAAAGUCGGCCAGUACUGUACCACAAUCCAGGCCACAACCUUGCGUUCAACGGUGCUUUCGAGUCCUUAAUUGGGAACAAAAUGGCACAUUCUUUUUGAAUCUCUUUCUAAUUUGCAUACUUAAUUUUAUUUGGGUCAAAUUAAUAGUCUAAUGAACCAUAUAGGGUUUGUUGUAGCAAUUACUAAAGGAGUUCGAGCUAGACAAAGACACAUGCACAAAAAAGGGAGAAGAACGUUCCUUAGGGGAAAUGGGAAGGUAUUAAUUCCUUGCAUAACUUUGUAUAAGUUCACUUUGAUCAUUAUCACGAGGAUUUAGAAACUUUCCUUCUUCUUGGUUCAAAUUUCGGGAAAGAAGAUAAAAGGAAAGCUCAAUAAUUGUACGUAUAAGUUCCUCUUCACUUUUGACUAUUUUGAGAUUUUUUAUUGUCACAAACUUUCUUUUGUUGAUAUUUAACUUAAUCAUAGCAUAGCAACUAUGGUGUCCUUUAUCAUGUUCUUAGAGCAUCUUCAAUCGAUAUGUCAUGGACAUGAAAGGGCAAACAUUGAAGGUUAAAGUUACUCCAACCGAGUAGUCUGUAGAAGAUGAAUGUGAUGAGCUUGUGUCAAUUAGGAGAAAUCUUGAAAAUCAAGUUAAUGUGCUCAAAGAGAGUAAUAUUUGCUUCCAAAACUCAAACAAACAUCUCUUGGGUGAGUUGAAUGAGGCAAAAAGUAAGAUUAUCUCCUUGACCAUUGGUGCUUCAAAAAUUGAUAAUAUGUUGAAUAUGGGAAAACUUCAUUGUGAUAAAGGGGGUCUUGGAUAUAAUCCAAUUGGAUCUAGUGUGUCUAGCUCAACAUGCACAAAAAAGGAGUUCGAGCCAGACAAAGACACAUGCACAAAAAAGGGAGAAGAACGUUCCUUAGGGGAAAUGGGAAGGUAUUAAUUCCUUGCAUAAUUUUUUUUGGGUCAAAUUAAUAGUCUAAUCAAUCUAAUAGGGUUUGUUGUCGCAAUCACUUUGACCACUAUCACGAGGAUUUAGAAACUUUCCUUCUUUGUGGUUCAAAUUUUGGGAAGGAAGAUAAAAGGAAAGCUCAAUAAUUGUACGUAUAAGUUCCUCUUCAUUUUUGACUAUUUUUAGGAUUUUUUAUUCAAUAACGCUACAUGCAUCAACUUGUUUAUCAACUCUUUAACACUAAGUUACCAACACUGACAUGGCAACCCAUGUCAUCUGCCAUCUCAUUUAUUUUAAGUACAUAUUUUGUUCAAAAAAAGAAUUUCAUCAACAAAAAUAAAAAAUAACCAAAAAAAAAAGUUUUUAGAUUUAGCGUUAAACUCAUCUCCUUCGUCUUUUGUCCUUCCCCUCUGAAAACCCUAGAAAUUGAACAGUGCCUCCAAUUACGUAUGAAAGCAUGGGAUUGUUGGUCCCACAAGGAAAAAAAAAAAACAUAUGCAGCCAAUUAAGCUUAUGGCUAUUAUAUAUAUAUAUAUAUAUAUAUUGUCACACAAAAAAUAUGUUAUUUUGAUAUUAGAACUUAAUCAUACCGUAGGAACUACGGCGUCUUUUAUAUCACAUCAUCACCACUUUUUAAGUUAAAAUUUAUAUGUCUUAUCAUAUCUAAUGAUCACAUUGCUAACUAAAUUUUAUACAAAUAUAACUUAUUCGAUGAAGAUAAAUAUCUCACUUAUGAAACUAAUAGCAGAUACACCCACUAUAUAAGGAUGAGAUGAGAAGUUGCUUAGUCAAUCCAUGACGAAUCUUUAGAAUUAGAAGAGUAGUCAUUAAAAUGCAUCUGAUACUCUUUUUAUCCUAGAAAAAUUAGGUAUUAGACAUAAUUAUCUUUACUAAUUAGUAUUUGAGACAAACAGUAUUUCUAUUUUGGUUUUAAUUCCAAGGAAUUGAAUUUUGUUUUGAAUUUGGCCGAAGUGGAGACCCAAAUUUGUUGACCCACCUUACAUUAAUCACUGAAGGGACAAUUAUACCCUUUUUAUUUAAAAGCCUGACCUAAAUUCAUUGCUCUCUCUCUCUCUCUCUCUCUCUCUCUCUCUCUCUCUCUCUCUCUCUCUCUCUCUCUCUCUCCGCAGCAACGACGAGCACAUCGCCAUGAUCUGCGAUCAUUGAUCCAAGAUCGAGAGGUCGAUCUGCGAUGGAAUUCUCAAACUGCUUGACCCGCGGCUCAUCCCUUUGACAUUCACCGGCGACUCCAAGGUCUUCUAGCUCAAGAUGAAAGACAUUGUGAUUGCUAUCUUGCUGAGUUCAAGAUUGAUUGACUUGCGGCUCAUCCCUUCGAAUAACAAAGAUUAGAACAUCCAAGGUUCCAAUCUCCAGUUUUCGUGUAAUGUUUUUUUGUUAAUUGCUCAGAUCUUGUGAUAUUAUUUUCAUAUCAGACUUCACAUCAAUGUCAAGCCCUGAUAAUCUUAUGACUUGUGUUUUUCUCUCUCUUUGUGAAGCUUAUGAAAUUUGUUAUUUUAAGAAAUAUUGAACUGAUAUGGAUGCACAUUUAACUAGUGAUGUUACUUUUGUAUAAUUUUUUAUUUCUAUAGAAUUUCAGUCUUGUUUAUGGUUGGUGUUUUCUAUCCCUUCCACAUGUUCAGCUCACACCUUUUAAUGAGAUUAUCCUUUUCUUUAGCCAGUAAUGGCUAGUCAUUGCUCUGAUAAGUAGGGCUCUUAAAGUGUAUCUUCGGGUACAGUUAUAUAUGAACUAUCACUUCCUCUUCCAAUUUGCUGUCAUUUCUUUUAAGUGAAAGUGGCUUCUCAAUUGGUCAUUUGUUUCUAUGAAUUGCUUAUUAAUUUUGUAUGUAACCUUCAUGUUAGAUUUUGCACGUUUGAAUUUUCAAGGCUUUUACGCUGCAGUCUUGGAGAAAGAUGAUUGUUGAUAUCUGUAGCAUCAAUCAGGUAGUACUGAAAUGAAGCUGUUUGUAGGGAGUCGAUUUUCCAGUUUUCGUGUGUAAUGUUUUUUUUGUUAGUUGCUCAGUUCUUGUGAUAUUAAUUUCAUAUUAGAUUUCACAUCAAUGUUUUGAUCUAUUGUUUAAACCUCCACCUUGCAUCCUUACUAUUUUAGUCGUUGAUAUCUAUUGUCAAUGGUAUUGCAAAACUUUUUGGUUUAGCUUUUGGUGCAUGGGUUUGAACUUUUUGAUUUGGAAAUGGUAUUGCAAAACUACAUUGUACAGGUUCUGCAUUGUAAUUUUACACAAACUGCAUUGCAGUUUUGGAAACUUUAUUUCAGUUUUCAUUUAAUUACAAAUUGAUUUUUGUUCUUUCCUUGACCUUCAACCUCACCAAUUUGAAGAGUAGAGGCUACCCAAAUGAGGAAUUGAGUGGGCAAGAGAAGAGUAGAACUACCCAAGAGCAAGGGAACUCAAAAUUGGACUUUCAGAAACUGCAUUGUAGUUUUCAUUUAUUACAAUUGGAUUUUUGCUCGUCCUUGGCCUUCAACCUCACUAAUUUGAAGAGUAAAGGUUACCCAGAUGAGGAAUUGGGUGGACAAGAGAAGAGUAGAACUACCCAAGAGCAAGAUAACUCAAAAUUGGACUUUUGGAAACUGCAUUGCAGUUUUCAUUUAAUUACAAUUGGAUUUUUGCUCUUUCCUUGGCCUUCAACCUCACCAAUUUGAAGAGUAGAGGCUACCCAUAUGAGGAAUGGGGUGGGCAAGAAAAUAGUAAAACUACCCAAGAGCAAGGGAACUCAAAAUUGGACUUUUGGAAACUGGAAAAUGCAUUGCAGUUUUCAUUUUAAUUACAAUUUGAUUUUUAUUCUUUCCUUAGCCAACCUCACCAAUUUGAAAAGUAGGGGCUACCCAGAUGAGGAAUUGGGUGGGCAAGAGAAGAGUAGAACUACCCAAGAGCAAGGGAACUCAAAAUUGGACUUUUGAAAACUGGAAAACUGGAAACUGCAUUGCAGUUUUCAUUUAAUUACAAUUGUUUUUGUAGUUGUUUUUUUUUUUCAAAAACAUAAUUGAUAUCUACAUUGUAUUUUUGUUGCAGUUUCUGUUUUUAUUUGCAGUUUUUGUGUGAAUAAGUGUUGAAAUAAUUUUUUUUUAUUUUUAAAUAUCGUUGAUUAUUGAUAUAAAUAUUGUAUAACUGAAUAAAUAUUACAAAAUCAAGUUCGGUGUAGUAGUUUGUGAGUGAGCCUUCCUCCUUUGAGGGUCAAGGUUCGAGUCCAUUCAAUGACACAAAAUCUUUUUUUCAAAAGGUGAAUAAAGGGCAACAGAGUUGGUCCCCUGCAGACGGUGGCAGGCCGGCGACGGGCGGUGGUGGUGACAGGCCAGCGACGGACGGUGGACAUGUGGCAUAGUAUGCUUACCUUAGAAGGAGUGGCAUUGUGUUUAAUUUUGAUAUUUUUUAAUGAUAUUUUUGUAAAAUUAGGUACUACAUUUGGUCUUUGGCCUUAUGCUAAUUAGAUGAAAUUAUAUUCUUAUUAUCUUCCAAAUUAAUAAACUAUAUUGUGUUUUAAAACUAAAGCUCUCUUUUAUUUUCUUUGUUAUUUUCUUACGUGAAUAAAAUCUCUUUGAUAUUGCAAAGAAGUUGUUUUCUUCUCCUUUUUUUAUUUUAUUUUUUUAAUAAUAAUAAAUUUCCGUGAAAAGUGAUUACAUAACAAACAAGAGAGAGUAUGCUGGUGCGGCUAGCAUUAAAUAUAUUUUAUCAGUAACGCUACGGGCACCAACUUGUUUACCAACUUUUGGAAGCGCAGCGCAGUUGAUUUUGCACCUCAAGCUCUGGUCUCGGAUUUUCUUUUUCCUAAUAUUGCUUGUGUUAAAAAAACGUAUUAUGCAUAUUUAAGAUAAUAUCUUGAAUUUAAAGUUUUAUUUAUUUAUUGCAGUCAAUUUUGACUUCUUUUUUUCUCUACAUUGAAAGUCAAAAGUGCCAAUAUGUGGUGCUAUGCUAUCCCCCAACCUCUUUAGUAAUUGCAUAUCUUNNNNNNNNNNNNNNNNNNNNNNNNNNNNNNNNNNNNNNNNNNNNNNNNNNNNNNNNNNNNNNNNNNNNNNNNNNNNNNNNNNNNNNNNNNNNNNNNNNNNAUCUGCCAUGUCAUCUAUUUUAAUACAUAAUUUGUUAUAUAAAUAAAAGAAUUUCUCACUGAAAAAAUGGGGGGUUUUUUAUAUUUAUUUUAAAUUAUAUCUUUUUUCGGUGAGAAAUUCUUUUAUUUAUAUAACAAAUUAUGUAAUUAAAAUAGAUGAGAUGGCAGAUGACAUGGGUUGCCAUGUCAUGUGCCACAUGUGUUGGUAUCCAAAAGUUGGUAAACAAGUUGGUGCCCGUAGCAUUAUUGAUAUUUUAUAUAGCAUAAGAAGUGAUUUCUACAUAUAAUUAUAAACGGAAUAUAUAAAGACUAGGCUAGCUAUCCAAACCACUUCUACAUCUGAUAUACAUAUAUAUAAUAUUACACAGAGCUUCAUUAGUUAACUAAUUACUUAUACCAAACUAAGUUGGUAUAUGUUAAUUAGCGGCGAAUCUUGGGGUACUCUCUUAUCUCUAUCCCCCCAAAUAGCAGGGCUGCGUCCUUGCUAUUAAGAACAGCCUGAUCAUUCCUAAGAGGAGUUGGGUGUCUCCCUGCACGAGCUGGUUGGUCUUGAGAAAAUGGAGGCCUCUUGCCGGGCCGGUCAUAGAACUUGUCUAGCAUGGCAAAAGCCUCCCCUCCAAGCUUUGCUAGCUCUUCCUGAGUUGCCAUAAUAGUAAUAUUGCUACAAUUUAGUACAAGCACACAAACAAACAGAUGCACAAAGCAGGUCAGGUAAUUUGGUUUGCCUUUGUUUUCUUGGUAAAAUGGUUCGCGGCCAAGCCCCAUUAUAUAGGAGUUAAAAAGCCACCUUAUUGUGAGACCUUGUGGAUAAGUUGGUUGGAUAACAUAGAUAUCCAUUCUUUCCAAAAGGGAUUCCCACUUUUGGUGAUUCCUUCAGAGACACUUUUGAAUCUUUGAGUUGGGGGCUUUGCUUACGUUAGAAAUAUGUAUUAGUAAUGUUGCAAAUUACUGAAGUGCCUUAAAAAGUAUUAUGAUCAAUAACACUAUUGAACGUAUGUAUGGAAGAUUGUUUGGUGCUAAGAAUUUCGUGGCAGGUUGACCCAUGGAUAUGGUUGGUACAAAACACAUUAAUGAAAAAUAGGAAUAAGCACAAAUUGUGGGAGGUGAAGAUAUUUAUUCCUCCAGAGAUUGACAGGAAUCAAUAUCAUAGUUUAUUUUGUUUUUUUUUUCAUUGCUUGAGAGCUACAUAUGAUGAAUUCUUCAAAUAAAAUUAUUUGUGGGGUAUUUUUGUAAAGAUCACUUUGUAUUAUAUUUGAACAAUUUACAAUUAAAACUGUCUAUUUCAUAGAUUAUCUCUUUAAAAAAUCACAUAAAUUGAGAGUUGGAUGUGACAAAUUAAUCUCUAAAUAAACUUAUUUGAGGGGGGUAUUUUUGUGGGGCUCAAUUUGUAUUGUAUUUCAACAAUUUGAACCCUCUAUGUCAUAGAUGAUAUCUCUUUAAAAAAGCACCCCAAUUGAAUUUAUUUUUUAACCAUUCUAACCAUGCUCCUUUAUCCAACUCCUAAAACAGGAAGACUUCUAGGAGCUCUUAAAUUUGAGGAGAGAGAAAGGACUCCUAGUGGGUCCCUAUAAUUAAAUACUAGUUUACUUUAAUGCUAAUUAUUUUUUAGUAUAUCCUACAUCUGAUAUACAAAUAUUGGAAUCAUUAGAGGAGAUCUUCCUUGUAAUUUUAUUUCUUGAUUUGAAAAAUAAAGUAUUAGUGUGGCGUGCAUAUGCUUACGAUGGCAAGUUUAUGUAGCCAAAUUAUUUAAUCCUGCAGUUUCUUGAAAUUAGAGACAACAAUUUUGCUCUAACCCUCCAGCUAAAUGACACUUCCAAAACAUGUACUAAGUUCUAGGAAAUGCAAACACAAUUUCACAUUAACAAACUUAAAAUUGUGUAUGUUGUUCUUGUAGAUAUGAAGAAUCUUGGCUAUAAAAGAUAAGACUUUUGCAUCCAUUGCACAUUUGGAAUUGGUGAGACUUACCAUUGUCCGUUUCUAUAAAGUUUAUGUAAAAAUAUUGGAAUCCUUAGAGGAGAUCUUCCUUGUAAUUUUAUUUCUUGAUUUGAAAAAAAAAAGAAAGUAUAUUAGUGUGGCGUGCAUAUGCUUAUGAUGGAAAGUUUAUGUAACAAAAUUAUUCUGGCCUAUCUCAGGGUAGGCAAGGCCUGUGCUUGAUAUCUUCUUGGUAGGAAAUGAUAUUCUUGAUCAUACAUACAUAUAUAUAGGGAGUUUUAAUUGAGGGAUUUCUCAAAUUUGAGGGAUAUCUUUGUGGAGCCCACUGCAGUAUUGCAUUUUACUAAUUCAAACCGCCUAUUUUGUAGAUACUCAUUCAAAGAUCAUCUCUACAAAAAAUCACUUGACACUACUAAAAAAAACCCCUUGCGCGACCAAAUUUUGCGCGACGAAAAACUAUUCGUCGCUCAAAGUCACUUUGCGCGACGAAACUUGAAACUUCGUCACUCAAAGUCUUGCGCGACGAAAAAUAAUUCGUCGCGCAAAGUCCCUUCGCGCGACAAACUUUUGCGCGACGACAAUACAUCGUCGCUCAAAGUCUUGCGCGACCAAUUUUGCGCGACGAAAAAUAAUUCGUCGCUCAAAGUGACUUUGCGCGACGAAAAGUAAACUUCGUCGCGCAAAGUCCUUAUAAAAAUAAAUAAAAAUAAAAAAUUAUUUUUUAAAAUCUUUGCAUGACGUAAUCCAAACAUUUUGUCACUUAACCAAUUUAUUUUUGUUUUUUAUUUUGUAUGCAUAAUACUUAAGAAAUUAAACGGUAUAUAUAUUUAUUAAGUAGCUUUAAAUUUAUUAUUUUAGAUCGGAUUGGAUUUUUGUUAGAAAAAUAUAUUAUUAUUGUUCGGAUUUGGUUUUUGUUAGAAAAUAUAUAUUUUAAAUUGACGAUCGAAUUAGUUCAUUGUAUUCAUAUAGGGUCAAGGAGUGUAGCUUUAAAAAAUUAUCAAAAUCGGAGUUAAAAUAACCAUUAAAUCGUGAUUUUUCAUUAUAACCGUCGAAGAGUUUUGUCCCAUUACUUGAUCUCUGAAUGUUUAUUUUUUCCGAUUUUUAGCGUAUAUGAUCUCGAAGUAUAAACAAACAAGUUUGACGGUUGGAUCGUUGAAACUAGUUUUUUUUAAUGCAUAUGCCAUCAAAACAAUAUAUUCACUAACAAUUAAGAGUUUAUUUAUACUUUCGUUAAAUAUAACAUAAGAUUUUGUGGUAUCCACUAGUGUAAAUAUUUUAAAUUGAAGAUCAAAUUCAGUCAUUGUAUUCAUAUAGGGUCAAGGAGUGUAGCUGUAAAAAAUCAUCAAAAUCGGAGUUAAAAUAACCGUUAAAUCAUGAUUUUUCAUUUAUAACCGUCGAAAAAUUUUGUCCCGUUACUUGAUCUAUGAAUGCUUAUUUUUUCCGAUUUUUGGCGUACAUGAUCUCGAAGUAUAAACAAACAAGUUUGACGGUUGGAUUGUUAAAAUUAGUUUCGUAGAAUGUGUAUGCCAUCAAAACAAUAUAUUCACUAACAAUUAAGAGUUUAUUUAUAUUUUCGUUAAAUAUAACAUAAGAUUUUGUGGAGUGUAAAUAUUUUAAAUUGAAGAUCAAAUUCAGUCAUUGUAUUCAUAUAGGGUCAAGGAGUGUAGCUGUAAAAAAUCAUCAAAAUCGGAGUUAAAAUAACUGUUAAAUCAUGAUUUUUCAUUUAUAACCGUUGAAAAGUUUUGUCCCUUUACUUGAUCUCUAAAUGUUUAUUUUUUCCGAUUUUUGGCGUAUAUGAUCUCGAAGUAUAAACAAACAAGUUUGACGGUUGGAUCGUUGAAACUAGUUUCGUAGAAUGUGUAUGCCAUCAAAACAAUAUAUUCACUAACAAUUAAGAGUUUAUUUAUACUUUCGUUAAAUAUAACAUAAGAUUUUGUGGUAUUCACUAGUGUAAAUAUUUUAAAUUGAAGAUCAAAUUUAGUCAUUGUAUUCAUAUAGGGUCAAGGAGUGUAGCUGUAAAAAAUCAUCAAAGUCGGAGUUAAAAUAACAAAUAAAUCAUGAUUUUUUAUUUAUAACCGUCGAAAUGUUUUGUCCAUUACUUGAUCUAUGAAUGUUUAUUUUUUCCGCUUUUUGGCGUAUAUGAUCUCGAAGUAUAAAAAAACAAGUUUGACGGUUGGAUCGUUGAAACUAGUUUCGUAGAAUGCAUAUGCCAUCAAAAUAAUAUAUUCACUAACAAUUAAGAGUUUAUUUAUACUUUCGUUAAAUAUAACAUAAGAUUUUGUGGUAUCCACUAGUGCAAAUGUUUUAAAUUGAAGAUCAAAUUCAGUCAUUGUAUUCAUAUAGGGUCAAGGAGUGUACCUGUAAAAAAAUCAUCAAAAUCGGAGUUAAAAUAACCGUUAAAUCGUGAUUUUUCAUUUAUAACUAUCGAAAAGUUUUGUCCCGUUACUAGAUCUCUGAAUAUUUAUUUUUUACGAUUUUUGGGGUAUACGAUCUUGAAGUAUAUACAAACAAGUCUUACGGUUGGAUCGUUGAAUGGUGUGUGUGUAUAUAUAUAUAUUUAUUAAGUAGUUUUAAAUUUAUUUAUUUUGUACGUAUAACACUUAAGAAAUUGAAUAGUAUAUACAUAUAUACAUUUAUUAAGUAGCUUUCACCUUAAUUAUAUUUUAAAUCAUAAAAUAAUUUUUUUUUUAUUUUUUCUUAUUCAAAACAAUUAUUUUUAUAAAUAUUCUGCUACGAACCAAUUUUUCGUCUCUCAAAAGUUUGCGCGACCAACAGUUCGUCGUGCAAAACUCAAAAAAUUUGUGCAAGUAACAAAAAUGGGACGCGGGUUUUUAAAAUUAAAAAAAAAACUUUAGACUUUGCGCGACCAAUAUAUAUUUUUCGUCGCGCAAAAAUUUGGGCGGGUACCAAAAAUGGGACGCGGGACUUUUUUUAUAUAAUUGUUUUAGACUUUGCGCGACCAAUAUGUACUUUUCGUCGCGCAAAAAUUUAAAAAUUUUGGCAGGUACCAAAAAUGGGAUGCGGGAAUUUUUUAAAAAAAAAAAUAAUUUUUUUUAGACUUUGCGCGACCAAUAUGUAUUUUUCGUCGCGCAAAGUUAAAUUUUGGCGGGAACCAAAAAUGGGAUGCGGGAAAUUUUUUUUUAAAAAAAUAAUUUUUUUAGACUUUGCGCGACCAAUAUUCCUAUAUUCGUCGCCCAAAACUUUGCGAGACCAAUAUGUUUCGUCGCGCAAAACUUUGCGCGACCAACAAUAUUUUUCGUCGCGCAAAGUGAUAUGAUUUUUAAAACCAAAAUAACUCCUCCACCAUUUUCUCAAUGUCUUUCUCUACUCUUACCUCUCCUCUCUCUUUCCCUCUCCCCAAAUUCCACCUUUUCUCUCACACUCACUCCUCUCACUUAAUCUCUCAUAUCUCUCUUCACUUUCUCUCACUCUCACUCACUCUCUCAUCUAUCUUUUCACUAUCUCUCACUCUCUCAUCUCUCUAUCACUAUCUUAUCUAAUUCUCUCACACUCACUUCUCCCUCUCAUUCUCACUCACUCUCAAUCUUGCCACAAAAGGUAUAUUCUCUCCAAAUUUUAAAUUUUUUUUCAUUAAUAUGUGUUUUUGGAGUUAGUUUUGAGUUUGUGUGGGGUUUGGGGUUGAGUAAAGGGGAGAGAUUGGAGUUUGGGUUGGAUUUGUGGUAUAACAAUUUUAGGGGAGAUUAUGCAUUCUUUUUUUGUUGUUGUUGUUAUUUGACCAUAUUUAUUUUUUUGUAGGUAAUCAUCAAGACUUUGAUGGCUAAAGUUGAGGAUUAGGAAGCUAUCAAAACAUAUCAUCUGUCACUACCACCACAAUACUCUUGUAUUAGGAUUUUAUUAUUGUACUUUGUUAAUUUAUGUGCACAUUUUGAAUAUUAUAUAUAUAUUUAUUGGAUAAUUUGAUCACUAUUUUUCAUAUGUAAUUUUAUUUUGAAUAUGUCAAUUUAAAUUAAAGUAAUUAAGAAAAAUCUUACAAUUAAGUUAAAUUUAAAAAGUAAAAAUUCGAAAAAAUUAAUAUCAACUUAAAUUAAAGUGAUUUAAAAAAAAUCAUACAAUUAAAUUAAAUUUAAAAAGUAAAAAUUUGAAUAAACUAAUAUAAAUAAAUUAAUAUUAAAGAAAUAAUAAAAUAAAAAGUCAAAAACCUUGCGCGACAAAAUAUUUUGUAGAGCAAACUAUUAAAUUAGUUUAUUUUAAUUAAAAAAAUUUAAAACACAAAAAAUAUUUAGUCGCGCAAAUAUUUGCGCGACGUUAGUAUUCAUCACGCAAAACUCUAAAGAUGUAGGCAGGUACCAAAAAUGGGACGCGGAAAUUUUUUAUUUUUUAUAAAUUUUUUUGAGACUUUGCGCGACAAAUAUUUUUCGUCGCGCAAACCUUUGCGCGACCAAUGUGUUUCGUCGCGCAAACCUUUGCGCGACCAAUGUGUUUCGUCGCGCAAAACUUUGCACGACAAAUAUUUUUCGUCGCGCAAACCUUUGCGCGACCAAUGUGUUUCGUCGCGCAAAGUUUUGUGCGACCAAUAUUUUUUCGUCGCGCAAAGUUACUUUGCACGACCAAUAUUUUUUAGUCGCGCAAAGUCACUUUGCGCGACCAAUGAAAAAACUUGGUCGCGCAAAGUCUUUCUUCACGAUCUUUGCGCGACGGAUUCUGCGCGACGAAGUUUCUGUCGCGUUAAAAUUUGUGCGACUACAAUGUAUUUUGCGCGACGAAAUUCUCUUCGUCGCGCAAAGUGUAAAAUGUAGUAGUGUGAAUCUAAUAUUAUUUUACCACUCAAUUAAAAUUAUUGAAAUUACAAUUGGAUAUCGAAACGGUUUUUGAUUUAUCUAAUAUUCGUUGCGCAAAGUGUAAAAUGUAGUAGUGUGAAUCUAAUAUUAUUUUACCACUCAAUUAAAAUUAUUGAAAUUACAAUUGGAUAUCGAAACGGUUUUUGAUUUAUCUAAUAUUUUGCAAAGAUGAUCUAUGAAUGUAGACUUAAAAAAUAGAUGGUUUCAAUCGUUGAAAAAAGAUUCAUAAGAAACCCUAAAAGGUAUCCCUCAAAUAAAAGUAUUUGAAGAAUCCCUCAACAUAUAUAAAGUAUGUGUGAUUUCAAUUUUUCAAUAGAAAAAGAUACCAAUUAAAGUCGGCCAGUGUCCCACAAUCCCCAGCCACAACACAAUCUUGCCUUCAACAAUGCCUAGAUCCUUAGUUGCGAUAAGAUAUUUGAAGAAGCUUGGGGAAUAAAAUGCCUUAAGAGACUGUUUAGGGGUGGUAGAAAUUCACCUAACUCGGGCAUGAGAAGAAUAACGGCCGGGGUUUGGAGGCCGGGAUUGGAGAAGUUAGCGACCGGAAAUGUCGGGGUUCCUGUGGCCGAAAUGUUGGAGAAUUUGGGAGAUCUCAGCCGGGUCUUGAAGGAGUCUCGUGGCGGCCGAGAUUUGGAGCAGCCAGUGUCUUGGGCCGAAUAUGUGGCUGGAGUACUUGGAGGGCUACGGGGCAGGCCUGAGCCCGAGUUUUUCUAAUUGAGGCCGGGUCUUCGGCUUUGAGCAGACAAGGCUUCGGAAAAUGCGGCUGGGGUAUUUGGUCUCUUUACAAGCUGGGCUGAAAGGGUUUUGGUUUGGAGUAGACAAAGCUUUGGAGAAUGGCGGUUGGAGCUUUGUGGAUUUGUUAACAGCUGAAGGGUUUUCUAGGUUGGAAGUUUAAUUGUCUUAUUCGAUAUAUACAUACAUAUUUUCAAAUAAGUGGGGCUGGAACUUCAAGAUAAUUGCGCCCGAGGCUUUAUUGAACCUCCUUUGUCUAAUUUUAUAUAUACGUAAUAUUUUUAUAUAAAUGCAAUUGCCUUGGAUUAUUGCAAGUGCGGCUGGAGGUUCCCAAGCUUAAGCCCUCCAUAUCCUGUUGUAUGAUAAUAUAUAUAUAUAUAUAUAUGUGUGUGUGUGUGUAAGUAUAUAUAAACAAAUGAACCUGCAUGUGCGGCUAGGUACUCAAGCUGAGGCAUUCCUCAUCCUAUUAUAUAUAUUAUAUGACUGACAACAUAAGAAAAAUCAGAGGCUCAAGUUCAAGACACCAACCCGAGCUCAGGAUUUUCCGAGGAUUACAUGCACGUGACGGAGGCUUUGCAAGGGAAGAAAUCAAGGAGGUUGAUAAUAAUUUCAAAUGUUCCAAAGCAAUAAGAAAUAAUCAAGCAUGUCAGACUAUCUCCUUCAAUGCAAUCCCACGAAUUUAGGGGGGCCUCAGAAGGAAGGAAAUUUUAAAAGAGUUGACCUUUGGCCAUUCAAUGGCCAGCCCAUGGGCUGACGAAUGCCCUAUAUAAACCUUGCUCAACAAAGGCAGAAGACAUAACAUCAGACAAACAAACUUAUCUUUUGUCUCGCACUUUUCUUUUCCUAGACUUAGAAUUUUACUUUUCAAGCACCUAGUGUAGUGAGUUCUUCCUUUUUUUAGUGUAAGUUUAUAUUUUUCUUGUCAUUUAAAUUCUUGUUUGAUUUAUAUUUCUUGUCAUUUAAAUUCAAGUUUAUUUUCAUUCCUUUAUAUUUCAUUGUUAUCGCACUUCAAUUAAGUUUAAUUUCAAGUUUGUUUAUUUUAUCGUUCUUAGCGUUCUUAUCGCUUUUAUUUCGUUCUUACUUUAUUUAGCGUUUUGAUUUAUUUUAUCGCACUUCAAUUCUUGUCUUUACGUUUAUACACGUAUUUAGUUUAAUUGCAUUAUUUUUACAUAAAACUCUAAAAAUCACAAAAACAUCCGUAUGAAACCUAACCAUCCUCGAGCCAGAGGAAGUGAAAGAAUCUAGGCCAAGAGGAGGUUCCUUGCUUGGCCGAUCAAUCGUUUGGUCAGAAGUUAGUGCUAAAAUAUGAAAACUAUGAGAGAAUAUUUGUUUGUGGGAAUUUUCUGUGUAUUCUUCUCCUUGUAGGAGGUCAUAUUUAUAAUACAACGAAACCUGAAUGGGCAAGUAAAUAAUAAAUUCCUAAAUCUAUUUGCAGUAGGAAAUCAGGAAUUAAAGUAAAUCAAUUACAAUUAUAAUAGGAAUUCUUAGUGUGUAAGGAAAGUAAGUCAAUAUCCACAAGUCACGCCAACACUCCCCCUCACGUUGGUGCAUAGAUGUCGCCAAUGCCCAACUGAUCUAGUGAAUUGUGGAAUGCUUUACUGGAAAUCGCCUUUGUCAAAAUAUCCGCCAAUUGAUCCUCGGAUUUCACAAAAGGAAACUGAAACACUUUAGCCUCAAGCUUUUGUUUGAUGAAGUGUCGAUCCACCUCAACAUGUUUAGUACGAUCAUGCUGAACCGGAUUCUGUGCAAUGGCUAUAGCAGCCUUGUUAUCACAAAAGAGAUUCAUUGUGGAUGUAGGUUUAUACCCAAGUUCAGUAAGCAACUUUCUUAACCAAAGAAGUUCACAAAUCCCUUUAGUCAUGCCUCUGAACUCGGCUUCUGCACUGGAUAAAGCUACUACAUUCUGUUUCUUGCUUCUCCAUGUCACCAAAUUACCUCCCACGAAUGUGAAGUAACCCGAUGUGGAUUUUCUAUCUGUUACAUUACCUGCCCAAUCUGCAUCUGAAUAACCAUCAAUAUUUAGAUGACCAUGCUUUGAGAACAUAAGUCCUUUUCCAGGUGCAGACUUCAAAUAUCUAAGUAUCCGAAGAACUGCAUUCAUAUGGUCUUCACUUGGAGAGUGCAUAAAUUGACUGACAACGCUCACCGCAUAAGCAAUGUCUGGUCGAGUAUGUGACAAAUAGAUCAAUCUUCCCACUAACCUUUGGUAUCUUUCUUUGUUAGUUGGAACUUGAUCCGGAUAUUCUCCAAGAUGAUGAUUCUGAAUAAUAGGAGUGUCCGCAGGUUUACAAUCUAGCAUUCCUAUGUCUGUCAACAAGUCUAAGACAUAUUUCCUUUGAGAGAGAAAUAUGCCUUGCUGCGAUCGAGCCACCUCAAUUCCCAAGAAAUACUUGAGUCCACCUAGAUCCUUCAUCUCAAACUCCGUAGCCAGAUAGUCUUGUAGCUGUGAUAUUUCCUGUUUAUCAUUCCCAGUAAUAAUCAUAUCAUCAACAUAAAUUAUUAAUGCUGUUACCUUCCCUUUUCGAUGUUUCAAGAACAAAGUAUGAUCUGAGUUGCACUGUUUGAAACCAUUAUUCUUCAUUGCCAUGGUGAACCGUCCAAACCAUGCACGUGGUGACUGUUUCAAUCCAUACAAUGCUUUUCGUAACCUGCAAACUGUUCCAGUCUGAGUAGUAUUAUAUCCAGGAGGAAUGUCCAUGUACACCUCCUCCGUGAGUUCGCCAUGUAGAAAAGCAUUCUUUACAUCAAACUGGUGUAGUGGCCAAUCUAAAUUAGCUGCAAGGGACAAUAAGACUCUGACGGUGUUUAACUUUGCAACGGGAGCAAAGGUUUCUUCAUAGUCUAUACCAUAGGUCUGUGUGUACCCUUUUGCCACAAGUCUUGCCUUGUAUCGCUCGAUAGAUCCAUCUGCAUUGUGUUUUAUAGUAAACACCCAUCUACAUCCGAUAGUCUUUUUUUCUCGGGGUAUAAUCUCCAAUGUCCAAGUUUGAUUUUUCUCAAGGGCUUUCAUCUCCUCUUUUAUAGCUUGGACCCACUUAGGAUCUUUCAAUGCUUCAGAGACCUUGGUUGGAAUAUGGAUAGCAGACAACUGAUGCACAAAAGCCUUAAGUGGUUCAGACAGCUUCUCAGUGGAUACAUGAUUUGCAAUUGGAUACUUGGAUGUCUUGCCAAUAUCAGGUGAAUAACGGUUUGGUGGCUUCCCACGAUUUUGCCUGAAAGGUAAUUGAUAUCCAAUAGUUUUAUCAUCUAAAUGCACAAGUCUAGUAGGAGUAGUUACCUCAAGGAUAUUCUCAAGAGAUUGGUCUGUUGGUACUGUUGAGUUAGAGGGGGGGCUUCAUCUUGUUGUUCUGUAUUGUCUGUAAGUGUGAGACUCGGAUCAGAAAUAUCUUCGCGUGGAUCAGGUGGGUCAGGCAAUUGAUCGCUAUAAAUGGGCGAUUGGUCGCUUUUCGACAGAGAGUAAUCUCGUGCUCCAGACUCGGAAUGAUCAAUCAUUUCUGUACAAAGGAGAAUUUCUUGAUUUUCCAAGUUGCUCCAAUUCUGCUCUUCACGUCGUAUCUCCCCUUGAAGUGUAGAAUUGGAUGAUGGGUCAUGGAAGAACAGCUCAGAUUCCAGAAAGGUCACAUCCAAAGUGACAUAGGUUCGUUGGGUAGGAGGGUGAUAACAACGGUAGCCUUUCUGAUGAGUGGCAUAACCCACAAAAACACAACGAAGCGCACAUGGAUCAAGUUUGCUACGUUGAUUUUUGUGGAGAUGAACGAAAGCCACACAUCCAAAGAUUCGGGGUGUGAGUACCAAAACAGAAGGCAGAGGUCUGUGUUGUGCAAGCACCUGUAAGGGAGUUUUAAAGGUCAGUACACUAGAAGGCAUGCGGUUGAUCAGAUGAACUGCGGUGACAAUAGCAUCAUCCCAGUGAUGGCGAGGAACAUGAGCGCCAAUCAGAAGUGCUCGGGCGGUUUCAAGAAGAUGUCGAUUCUUUCGUUCAGCAACACCAUUUUGUUGUGGUGUCUGAGGACAAGUCGUCUCAUGGAUAAUUCCAUGUUGUUGGAAGUAAGUUUGAAAGUCAUGAUUGACAAAUUCUCCACCAUUGUCGGAGUGAAGAAUCUGGAUUUGAGCAUUAAACUGAGUUUUCAUCUGUUUGUGGAAGGACUGAAAACAGGAAAACACUUCGUUUUUAUUCUUCAGCAAAUAAAGCCAUGUCAUCCGUGUACAAUCAUCGAUGAAUGUGACAAACCAUCGAACACCAGAAGGAGCAGUGAUAGGAGAAGGUCCCCAGACAUCAGAGUGAAUUAACGUAAAUGGAGUAGUACACUUGUUCGUACUCAACGGGUAGGGCACACGGUGACUCUUGGCCAAAAUACAAGUAUCACAUGUGAAGUCAGAGUCCUUGAAACCUGAGAAUAAAUCUGGUAUAAGAUGCUUCAUAUAACUAAAAGAAGGAUGUCCCAAUCGACGAUGCCACAACCAGAUUUGCUUUUGUUUGCUAUCAAAGGGAUGUGUCACGCUGUUAGCCAUGCCGGGACUGAAGUCAUCGACAUAAUAUAGCCCCCCUCUCUUAGUACCACGACCAAGAAUCUCCUUAGUGUGAAUAUCCUGAAGCAAACAAAAACUCGGGUAAAUGAGUACACAACAAUUCAAUUGUUCAGUAAGCUGACUAACUGACAAUAAUUUAGUGGAUAAAGAUGGAACAAGUAAAGUAUUAGACAGUGUGAGAGAGGAUGAGAGUGCAACAGUGCCAGCCCCUGUCACAGGAUAAGUAACACCAUUGGCAUUUGCAAUACAGGUUCGUCGAGGUUGUGUAGUAUUCAGAAAAUCAUCAGGAUCAAACGUCAUAUGAUCAGUUGCACCAGAAUCAAUUAUCCAGCUCCUGGAAUUAAUCUUAUCGGAAGUAUGGAAUCCAUAACCAGUACCAUUACUGGUCAUAUUGCAUUGUCCUUGAUCUAUAAGAGUAGCCCACCAAUUGGGGUAGCCAUGCGAUUUAAAACAAGUCUCACAAGUGUGUCGUGGAUCACCACAAUAUGCGCAAUCUAGUCCACGUGUCGGGGUCGUUAGUCUAGAAGUCAUAAUUUGUGCAGCGGAAGAUGCAUAGGAUACAGGUUGAGUAGGAAUUGGGAUCGGAAUCUGAGCCUGAGUCGGGGCCGGAGUCGGAGUCGAAAUUGGGAUCAGGGUCUGAAUCAGAGACAAAUUCGGGUUUGGGGUCAUCAUCGGAGUGGGGGUCGGGGUCGUCUUCGGAGUCGGGGUCGGGGUCGUCGUCGUCAUAGUCGGGGUCGGGGUCGGGGUCGUCGUCGUCAUAGUCGGGGUCGGGGUCGGGGUCGUCGUCGUCAUAGUCAGUGUCGGGGUCGGGGUCGUCAAAAAAGAAUCCGGAUUCUGGAUCGGGUUCAGGGUCAAAGUCUGCAUCUGUAGGAGCGGAGCCAUCUGGGCACUCAACUCAAUGAUGGUUGGUGGAGAUUGAGAGAAGGAGUCGGUGGUGCUACCUCCAUGAGGGUUGAAAAAAUCAUCAACCCCCAUAGCAGCGGCGGGGGUUUGAAACUAGAGUCAGCAAUUCCAAGAUCGCCGCUCUGAUACCAUGCUAAAAUAUGAAAACUAUGAGAGAAUAUUUGUUUGUGGGAAUUUUCUGUGUACUCUUCUCCUUGUAGGAGGUCAUAUUUAUAAUACAACGAAACCUGAAUGGGCAAGUAAAUAAUAAAUUCCUAAAUCUAUUUGCAGUAGGAAAUCAGGAAUUAAAGUAAAUCAAUUACAAUUAUAAUAGGAAUUCUUAGUGUGUAAGGAAAGUAAGUCAAUAUCCACAAGUCACGCCAACAGUUAGAAGCGCAACACAUCCAUCUAUUCUCAUUCCAUUCAAGCCCAAAUUCAGGGCUUGGUGGUGGCACACACUGCACUCCAAAAAAGAAGGAUAAAAAGUUCAUUCCGUUAGCCGCCCCGACCAAAGAAAGGGAAACAGAGACACUUUUGAAUCUUUGAAGUGCCUUAAAAGGUAUUAUGAAUAGCACUAUUGAAUGUUUGGAAGAUUGUUUGGUGCUUAGAAUUUCGUGGGAGGUUGACCCAUGGAUAUGGUUGGUACAAAACACAUUAAUGAAAAAUAGGGAUAAGCACAAAUUGUGAGAGGUGAAGAUAUUAUCUUCCUUAAGAGAUUGAAAGGAAUCAAUAUCAUACUUUAUCUGGUUUCCUUUUUCUUUGCUUGAGAACUGCAUAUGAUAAAUCUUUCAAAUAAACUUAUUUGAGGGGUAUUUUUGUAGAGCUCACUGUGUAUUGUAUUUGAACAAUUCAAACUGUCUAUUUAAUAGAUUAGAGUGCUACUAAACGAACCCUAAUAUUAACUGAAUACACCAUACUACUAAACUAUUUAUUAAAUUACUAAUUUACCCUAAUAUAAACUAAAAACAAAUAUAUUGAAUUGUGAAACAAAUGUAAUUUUAAUAAGUGCACCUUACUAACGCGGAUCCUCUUGUUGUUUUUUCUCAAUUUGUUUGACUUUUCUUUUAAGCAUCCCACAUCAUUUAAAAAAAUAUCUAAAACAUGACACCCAUAUUUUUGCCUACAAUCUUCUUCUCCAUCUUAGCAUUUGGACAACCGAACUCUUUUCUCUCUCAAAACCAAGCUCAGCAGAACCUCUUCUCCUUUCAAUCAGUCUUCUUCUCCAAACAUAUAAUUUUUUCAUUUUCCUCAUCUUUCAAUUCACGAAAUUUCCUAUAAUAUUUGAAGCCCCUUGUAAAACUUGUUUUCUCCUAUUUACCCCCACAAAAGUAGCCACACGAAUCAUAUUGGGACUUAAUUAUAUCAGCAAGCAAGGCAAUCAAAGUUGUUUUUUGGUUUCAGAUAUUGGAUUCAAAAAACAAAAAAUUAUUUUUUAAAAAUCAGAAAGAGAAAAAUUAAAAAAACAGACUGCAUGAAAUAUUGUGUUUCUUGAGAAAAAAAUUAAAAACCCCCGAAGCUGCAAAAUUGAGUGUUUUAAUAAGAAUGAUUCCCUUACUGAGUAUUACUUAUUAUUUGAUUUAGGAUCAAUAUCAAAGAAUUCUAUUGAACGUUUUUGUGUUAUUAGUUAUAUUUAGGAUAUAUAAAAAAGAACAAUAUUGUCCAGAGUGUACAGUUAAAAACUUUGAGAAUCAAAGUAUGGGGAAAGGGAUCGUGGGGAGAUGAAUGUUGUUGGUCUUUUUUUGAAGAGGUAGUGUAUUAGGGUGUAUCAAGGGUAUUUUUGGUAGUUAAAUAGGGUGUACUUUGUUAAUUUUACAUUUUAAUUAGGGCGUACUCAGUUAAUUUUAGGGUUCAUUUAGCAGCACUCAUAGAUUAUCUCUUUAAAAAAUCACACAAAUUGACGGGUAUUUUUGUAGAGCUCAAUUUGUAUUGUAUUUCAACAAUUUGAAUUGUCUAUGUCAUAGAUUAUAUCGCUUUAAAAAAGCACCCGAAUUGAACUUUUUUAACCAUUUGAUUGAAUAGUAGUCAUUUAUUAAGUGUGUGUCUAUUUGUCUCAUCACAUUUAUAUAUGUUUGAAUGGUUUACAAUUUGUUCAAAUAAAUGAAAUGCAAAGUGGAUGAACCCUAGAAAGUGUCGUAUUUGAAAAAUAUAUAAAUAAAAUGAUAACCUUACACAUAUUUGUUUAUUUUAUAUAAACAUCACCACAAACAUAGAAUAAACAGUUGCAAAACAACAGAAAACUUCUAAUAGUCAAAAAACAUCCUUUAGCUUACAUGAUAGAAACAGAACAACUGCCUUUUCCCACAACACUUCUAUUCAACUGAGCAUCUUAUAUCUUCUUCAGUUGCAUUAUUUGCAAAAUUUGUUCCUCUGUUUGCAAAUAUGAAGCAUUUUUCAAACAUCUAGCAUAUUGCUGAAACAUCUAUCACUAGAUCACAUCUUACAAAAGUUAUUCUUCUGUAUUUGUUGUCGCUACUUUUCUUCUAAUUAAUAGUCUAAUCAAUCUAAUAGAGUUUGUUGUUGCAAUUCCAAAAGAGCUCAAGCCAGACAAACACACAUACACCUGCGUCAAAAUUCACUUUGACCAUUGACGCGUUGAGUUAGAAACUUUCCUUCUUCUUGGUUCAAAUUUAGGGAAGGAAGAUAAUAAGGAAAGCUCAACAAUUGUACCUAUAAGUUCCUCUUAACUUUUGACUAUUUUGGGAUUUUUUUUUUAUUGUUAUAGCAACAAAAAAAAAAAAAUUUAUUUUGAUAAUUUUAAUUUUUUGAAGGGAAAAAUUCUUUUGAUAUUUAAACCUUAAUCAUAGCGUAAAACCUACAUCUUCUUUUAUAUCACAUCACCAUCUUUUAAGUUAAACUUUAUGUGUCGUAUUGAUCACAUUUGCUAACUCAUCGAUAAAGAUAAUUCUCUCACUUUAUUAAGAAAUAUGACCCACGAAUAAGGAUGAGUAAUUGCCAAGUCAGUUUAGUGCAUCUGAUACCAGUGCUGAUCUUUUCGCUUUCUACUUCAACUCUAUAUUUCUUCUUUGUUAUUUUCUUACAUGAAUAAAAUUCUUUGAUAUUGCAAGGAAAGUUGUUUUCUUCUCCUCUUUUCUUCUAUUUUUUUUUAAUAAUAAUAAAUUUCCUUGAAAAGUGAUUACAUAACAAACAAGAGAGAGUAUGCAAGAGAGGAGGGGCUAGCUUUAAAUAUAUUUUAUAUAACAUAAGAAGUGAUUUGUACAUAUAAUUACAAGCGGACACAUAUACAUAUAGGCGCAGAAAAUAAGCUAGCUUAGACUGUAGGCUAGCUAUCCAAACCACUUCUACAUCUGAUAUACAUACAUAUUCUAUAUUACAGAGAGCUUCAUUAGUUAACUAAUUACUUAUACCAAACUAAGUUGGUAAUAAUUAGCGGCGAACCUUGGGGUACUCUCUUAUCUCUAUGCCCCCAAAUAGCAGGGCUGCGUCCUUGCUAUUAAGAACAGCCUGAUCAUUCCUAAGAGGAGCUGGUUGUCUCCCGGAACGAGCUUGUUGGUCUUGAGAAAAUGGAGACCUCUUGCUGGGCUGGCCACAGAACUUGUCUAGCAUGGCAAAAGCCUCCAUUCCAAGCCUUGCUAGCUCUUCUUGAGUUGCCAUAAUAAUAUUGCUAAAAUUUAGUACAAGCACACAAAACACAGAUGCACGAAGCAGGUCAGGUAAUUUGGUUUGCCUUUGUUUUCUUGGUAACAACGGUUUGCGGCCACGCCCCAUUAUGUAGGAGUUAAAAAGGCGAAUAUGGAAGAUUUUUUGUUGCUAAGAAUUUCGUGCAGGUUGACAGACGGAUAUGGUUGGUACAAAAAACAUUAAUGAAAAAUAGGAAUAAGCACAAAUUGUGGGAGGUGAAGAUAUUAUCUUCCUGAAGAGAUUGGAAGGAAUCAAUAUCAAACUUUAUCUGGGUUUACUUUCUUUGCUUGAGAGCUGCAAUGAUGGAUUUUUCAAAUAAAUAUUUCAACGUUUAUCUCUUCAAAAAAUCACACAAAUUGACAGGUGCACAUGCAUGUGAUAAAUACUCAAAUAAACUUAUUUGAGGGGUAUUUUUGUAGAGUUCAAUUGUAUUGUACGUAUUUCAACAAUUUGAACCAUCUAUAUCAUUGAUUAUAUAUCUUUAAACAAGCACCCGAAUUGAAUUUUGGGAGAUUCACUAUUAUACCCAAUAUGGGGGCCCAAAUUAUAAAAAUAUCAUAUAUAAAAUGGACUUUAGAAACACACCCAAAGCCCAUUUACAACAUAACAAAAAAGCUUUUAACUUCUUAUAAAUUACAAAACUGCCAUCAAUUUCUUAAAACAAGCCCAACCCCAAAAUCUCAUAAAAAUACCCAAAACACUCAAUAGGGCAUCAAAGUAAUUUAAUAAUCAAUAUUAAAUUCAAUAAGGCCAGCUAUCAUUUUUUGGGUUUUUUUUGGGUUUGUUUAUAGGAAUUCAAUUGUGUAGGGUUUAUUUAUAAUAUUAGUGCUAGAAAUGGGUAUAUCACUAAAUAUCUCUUGAAUUUUUUUCGAGUGCUGAUUUUCUCCCUCCUCUUUUGUUCACUUACACUCCAUUUUGUCUUUUUAAGGGAGUGUAAGUAGACAAAAGAGGAGUGAGAAAAUUAACUUCCUUUUUUUAAAACCAUUUGAUUGAAUAGUACAUAAUUUAAGUAUUUGUCUAUUUGUCUAGUCACAUUUACAAUUUGUUCAAUAUUUUAUAAGGAAAAUCUGUGAAUGAAACUUGAAAAUUAGAAAGUGGAUGAACCCUAGAAAGUGUCAAUAGAAUGAUAACCUUACACAUAUUUGUUUAUUUUAUAUAAAUAUCACAACAAACAUAGAAUAAACAGUUCUGCAAAACAACAUAAAACUUCUAAUACUCAACAAAUACAUACUUUUAGGAGUGCAUCUUAUUUAUGCAUAUUUUUCAAUAUCUUUUGUUUAUUCCUUCUUUCUUGUUAUUAUUAAAUUCCUACUUGUCUCUCAAGUAUUUUGAUUGAUAAUUACGUUGGUAUUUCCUUGGGACUCAAGUGUGAUUAUGCUUUGAAUUGAAAUAUAUAUUUUUGAAUAAAAAUCAGUCUUUAAUAGUGUAAUUAUCAAAAAUCUCAUUUUGAUUAGAAUUUUCCUCUUUUAUUGUUUUGGGCCUCACGUGUAAUCACCUUUAGCAUAGGAAAGUAUCUUUGUGAUUACUUUCAUGUCUUGCAAAUUAAAAAGGUUUUGUAGGUGGUUGGAACCGGGAUAUAGUAGAAAGAACUACGUGUGGCUUGAUCCUUUAGUAAGGGUACGUAGGUAGCCUAGAGUAGUGCCUAGGUGCAGCCGCGGCACUACUACAAAAAAGCAAAAAGACGACGGUAAAUCACCGUCGUUGUUACAAUAUACAACGUCAUCAACAAAUACAAAACGACGUCUUUGUACUGCAAAAAGAUCUAUAAAAGCAGUCGAGGAUGAGAAUAGACGACCAACUCUCUAAAAAAACCGUCGUUAAAAAGGAAAAAUAUGACACAUUAACAGAACAAGGCCGCAAUAUAGACAUACAACGACGAAAAUUUAAAAAAGACGCCGUUAAAUAUCAUUUUCACGACAAUAAAAAAUAUGACGUCUUUAAAUACAUUAGAAGACGACGUUAUUGAUACCUACUACGUCGCCUAUAUAAAAACAGCCGUCGUAAAAUAAAUUUUCCACUUCGAUUUUUCUAUAAAAGAUGACGUGGAAAUAGUUGUCAGUGUCAUUAUUUACGACGUAUGUAUUUAUAGAGUAGACGUUGAACAAGGAAACAACGUCAGUUACAAAUAUAUGAGAGUCGUAUUACAAAAUUUAUACGUCCUAUUUUCAGAAACAAACAACGACGAUAAAUAUUAGACGUUGUUAAAUAAACCAACGUCGAAAACAAAUAAAAAUAGACGUGUUUAGUCUGCUAAAGUUCUAAAAAAUAGUCGACGAUGAGAAUAGACGACCAACUCAAACAAAUCACCGUCGUUAAAAAGGAAAAAUAUGACACAUAUUAAAAGAACAAGGCCGCAAGAUAGACAUACAACGACGACAACUAAAACAUUACGCCGUUAAAUAUAAUUUUCACGACAAGAAAAAAUAUGACGUCUUUAAAUACAUGAGAAGACGACGUUAUUGAAAUAUACUACGUCUCUUAUUUACAAACAACCGUCUUGAAAUAAAUUUUCCACUUCGAUUUUUCUAAAAAAGAUGACGUGGAAAUAGUUGUCAGUUUCAUUAUUUACGACGUAUGUAUUUAUAUAGUUGACGUUGAAUGCGAAACAACGUCGGUGGCAUUUAUAUUGUCGACGUUGUAUUUAUAUGUAUUCAUUACUCACGACGCACUUAUUAAUAUAGACGACGUUGAACUUCUAAACAACGUCGGUUCCAAAUAAAUGAGAGCCGUAUUACAGAACAUAUAGACGGCGUUGAUUAUGAUGGGAGCCGUAUUACAAAUAACGUCGUUUAAUUGAUAUUAGACGGCGGUUAUAAUGAAUUACCGUCGGAAUUCUUUUCGUUCCUCUUCGUUUAUAAAAGAACUUGCGACAUGGAAAAUGUAUGAUGACGUCGUAUUUUUUAACGUUCAGAUUAUAUAUCUCGUUUUUUAGACGUCGGUAUUAUGGGAUUGGAGUCAUGUUAUUUUGAAUUACAUGGCGGUUCUUAAUCCUUUCCCGACGUGAUAUCCUGAAUAAUUGCUUCACAAUAGCGUCGUGGUUCUUCAUUGUUACGUUGCUUUAAGACGUCGGUAAAUAUGCUGAAUAACUGGUUCACAAUAACGUCGUGUUUUAUUUGAACGUAGAAAGUGAAGAAAUCACAUUACAAUAUAUUACAAAAUUAAUGUCAUACACUGCCAAUUACAUAAGCAUCAUUCAAUCCAUAUAUCUUCACACCCAUCUCGAAUAUUUUGACCGCCUAACUCACCCACCAGUUCAUCAAAUGUGUCAACAUUUGGCAUCCCUCUAGUAAAUGGCUCACACUCAAUUAUCACAUCACCUAAGACUUCAUCACCAAUAACAUCAUUAUAUUCUCUAUUAGGCAUUGAUAACACUACCGACUAACCACGAUGCAUCGGGUCGUCAACAAAAAAUAUUUGUUUGACUUGAGAAGCCAAAACAAAUUGGUCAUUCCUAUGUCCAAUUUUACUCAAAUCUACAAGGGUAAAUCCAAGUUCGUCGACUACAAGACCAGAACUAUCUAUCCAAUCACACCUAAAGACUGGGAUUGUAAACUUUUGGUAGUCAAGGUCCCAAAUUUCUUGAAUGACACCAUAGAAACCCAUAUUUGAGAGAAUUGGGUUUUUAUCCUUGGCACUAGCAACUUGCAUGGUAUGUGCAAGUAAAUAAACUCCACUAUUUUGAGUUGUCCGCACAUCAUCUUGUGCCUUGAUAUUGAAUUUAAUACCUUUAAUAAGAUAGCUCCUAUAUAAUGGCACUGCCAUGUUUGGACCAGCUGCUAGCCACCUUAAAUUUUCUGAUACGCCAUGAUUGUCUUCCUCAAGUUCACUUUGAACCUGCAAAUUAAUCAUAUAUCUUAAUUCAAUCUAACAUAGAAAUAAGAAGAAAAUUAAAAGAGAAAUAUGUUAUUCAACAACAUAUACCUUGAAGCGUAGCCAUUGAAUGAAAGUGCUAUUGUGCUUAUCCUGCAGCCACUUUGUUCUCUUUCUAAAUUUUGGAUAAGCAGUCUUGAUGUGGAUCAUAUGUUGCCUACAUGACACGAAAAAUUCAAGCAUUACGGUCCCAAAUAUAGAAGAUAAACAUAAGAAAUAAUUUAAAAUGGAAACUUAAAGAAUAAAACUCAUACGUACUCGAUAUAAGGUAGGACUUCCUCCGUAUUCUCCAAGACAUAUAGAUGUGCUUGAUUCAACAGGUCCUGAUCAACUACGCUCACUGUGCAACCUGAUAAUGGCUUUGAAAGUCCCAUCUUUUGGCUUGAAGGCACUCCAACUGUACUAACAUCAGAUAAAUGCUGAGUACAAAACUCUACCGCUUCUUCAGCUAUAUACCGCUCAGCAAUGCAACCUUCGGGACGAGUACGAUUCUGAACAUACCCCUUCAGAACUUUCAUAUAUCUUUCAAACGGAUACAUCCACCUAAAAUAUACUGGCCCACAUAGACGAAGUUCUCUGACAAGAUGUACUACUAGAUGAACCAUGAUAUCAAAGAAUGAAGGGGGAAAGUACUUCUCAAGCAAACACAGAGUAACUACUACAUCUUCUUCCAACUUAUCUAGCUUGGAAACAUCAACAGUCUUUGCACAUAUAGCAUUGAAAAAGAAGCACAAACGAGUUAUUGCAUACCUUGCAGGCUUCUCCAAAACAGAACGAAUUGUCACAGGGAGCAAUUGUUGCAUUAAGGUAUGACAAUCAUGUGAUUUAAGGCCAAGAAGUCUUGAAUCUUGUAAAGAUACAAGAUUUUUAAUAUUUGAAGAAUAACCUUCAGGGACCUUCAUACCAUAGAAAGAAUUGCAAACUUCUCUCUUCUCUGCUCUUGACAAAUUCCAAGGCCCAGGAGGCAAACGAGUACGUCUUUCUCCAUACUCGGGUUGCAAAUCAGUUUUGACCCCCAUGUUCAAUAAAUCUAAUCGAGCAGCAAUCCCAUCUUUAUUUUUUCCAGGGAUCUCCAGCAAUGUACCAAUAAUACUAUCGCAAACAUUCUUCUCAAUGUGCAUAACAUCUAGGGCAUGCCUCACAGGAAGGUAUUUCCAAUACUCGAGAUCAAAGAAUAUUGAUUUCUUCUUCCAACAAACUCUGUCACCAUUUUCAACCAUAUGCAGCACUUCUUCUCCGGUUAAUGGCUCGGGAGGUAUGCCAUAUUCAGGUUUCCCAUUAAAAGCUGCACGUUGCCUCCUAUAUGGAUGAUUGAUUGGUAACCAUUUUCUAUGCCCAAUGUAACAAAUUUUGUGGCCAUUUUUCAACCUGUGACUAGGUGUAUCAUCGCCGCAUAUUGGACAAGCUUUAUAUCCUUUAACAACACAACCAGAUAAGUUUCCAUAGGCGGGGAAAUCAUUAAUUGUCCACAUUAAUGCAGCUCUGAGUGUAAAGUAUUCUCCAUUAUGUGCAUCAUACACUCCUCUAAUCCCAUCCCACAAAGAUUUUAAAUCAUCAAUCAAAGGCUCCAAGUAGACGUCUAUAUCAUUUCCGGGUUGUUUAGGACCGGAAAUCAAUAAGGUUAACAUCAUGAACUUUCGUUUCAUGCACAGCCAUGGAGGGAGAUUAUAUGUAACUAAGAUAACCGGCCAACAACUAUAUCUGCUACUUAGAGAACUGUGGGGAUUGAAUCCAUCAGAUGAAAGAGCCAAUCUCAAGUUUCUCGGCUCAUUACCAAACUCAGGCCAUUUAUCAUCAAGAAGUUUCCAAGACGGGGAAUCCGCCGGAUGAGACAUCUGACCAUCAAUUGAUUUUCUAGCAGCAUGCCAAGUCAAACUCUUAGCUGUCUCAUGUGAAUGAAACAUCCUUUUAAACCUUGGAAUUGGAGGAAAAUACCACACCACCUUCGCUGGCACACCUUCUUUCAAGAUUGAAUCUUUGCCUUCCUUCCACCUUGAGAUACCACAAGUAGGACAAUUAGUUGAAUCCUCAUACUCCUUCCUAUACAAGAUGCAAUCAUUGGGGCAUGCGUGCAUUUUCUCAUAACUCAGCCCCAAUGCACACAAAGUCUUUUUAGCCUCAUACAUAGAGGUUGGUAUUGUAUUUCCUUCUGGAAGCAAAUCGCCUUGAAGUAUCAAUAAUUCUGUAAAACAGACAUCACUCAUCCCAUGUUUUGCCUUCAAAUUAUACAACUUCACUAAUGCCGAUAACUUCGUGUACUUUCUACAACCAGGGUACACUAGUUGAUCUCCAUCCCCAAUCACAUUGGCAAACUCAUACGGAUCGGAACCAAAAUCACCAAAAUCAUUAUCAUCCAUAUCAAUUUCUUCAGACACAAAACUGUACCUACUAUGGCCAUCAUCUUCUUCAACAUUUCUACUAGCAUUAGUAGUUGCUUCCCAAGGUUCUCCGUGAAAUGUCCAAUUCUUAUAGCUUUGGUCAAUUCCAUUAAAGUAUAAGUGAUCCCUUAUAAUUCCAACCCCAAACAACUUCAAAUUAACACAUUUAACACAUGGACAACGGAUAUGUGUUGUAGUUAGAAGAUUUUCUACAGCAAAGUUCAAAAAUGCUUCCACCCCAAACUCAUAUGCCUUCGAUCUUCUAUCCGAGUGCAUCCAUGACUUAUCCAUCUCCGACACUAUAACCUAUUAUCUAUAAUAAAGUGAAAAUACAGGCAAUGACCAUCACUAUAGCAGAUUAUACAAAGAUCUAAUAGCAAGUAAUACACAACAGAGACGACGGGUUUUAAACAAAAACAGACGUAUUUGGCAUAUAUAGACGACGGAUUUUCAACAGACGUCGUCUAAUAUAAGUAAUACAAACGACGGUUUAUGAAAAAAUCGUCGUGUAUAAGUAAUACAACGACGGUUUUUUCAUAAACCGUCGUGUAAUCGUCGUCGUAUGCCUAAAAAGGCGUCGUGUCUCAGUUUAUUUUCAAGAACCCAAAACCCAUUAAGAACACAACAUAUAUAUGAAACCAAGCAAGAAACCAACAUAUACAUGAAAUCACUAUAGCAGAUUAUACAAAGAUCUAAUAGCAAGUAAUACACAACAGAGACGACAGGUUUUAAACAAAAACAGACGUAUUUGGCAUAUAUAGACGACGGAUUUUCAACAGACGUCGUCUAAUAUAAGUAAUACAAACUAAAAAGGCGUCGUAUGCCUAAAAAGGCGUCGUGUCUCAGUUUAUUUUCAAGAACCCAAAACCCAUUAAGAACACAACAUAUAUAUGAAACCAAGCAAGAAACCAACAUAUACAUGAAACCAAGCAUGAAAACAAUAAAUCCAUUCCCAAUUCAACAUAACAUAGGGUGAUUAAAAGAUCUGACAAAAUUAAAUCCAUUCCCAAUUCAACAUAACAGAUAAUGUAAUCCAUGAACCCAUUAAACAGAAAAUUCAUGAACCCAUUAAACAGAAAAUCCAUGAACUCAUACCUAUAAGCACAUUAUUAACAGAUCGCAAAGCAUAUACCUAAAACCCUUUAACAAAACAACCUAAUAUCAUUCAAUGAAUUUACAAGGGGAAGAUAGGGUUUGUACUUACAGGUUGGACGAGCUCACAGAUUCGACGGAGCCUGGAGAGUGCAACUUUUAAUUAGAGCAGAAGUGAAAGAGCGAAUGUUAUGUUGCGCGAAAUCUGAAAAUUUUAGGGUUCAGGGUUAGAAGUAUAAGAAUAAGAGCCAAAUAUAAAAAAUUUAGGGCGCGCGAAAAUUUUUAGAGCGCGCGCUCUUUAAAACGUCGAAAGAAAAACCAUGGCGAAAGUUCAACAAGAACCGACGUAAAUGUAAUAUUCCACGACGGAAACACUGAACGUAACGCCGUUUCUUUUGACGCUUCAUUUUUCGGAUUAAUUUUAAAUUUAUUUUGAAUAUUUUGAUAUAAAGACGACUGAAAAACCACGUCGAAGUUAAGAAACUGAAAACGUUGUAAAUUAUAAUAAACGACUUACAUAUUAAAAUGACGUCGUUUAAAGUGGAAACCAUGUCGAAUAUUUUACUGCACGACGUAACAUAUGUAUUCCACGACUCAACCACCGUCGUUAACAAUUAAUACCCUAAACCCUUAAAACUAAAUUAUAUAAUUUUAAAAAUUAAGUUUAUAAAAGGGUUUAUGGUUUUACAGCCUAAUAUAUACCCUAGACUACCCAAAAAUUAUACUUUAAAACGAAACAACAAAAAACGACGGCUUUUGACUUUAUUACGUCGUUGGAAAAGUAUUACACGUCGUUUACGCAAUUUGUAUGUUUGUUUUUUUUUAAUUUAAGAAAACCUCAACAAAUUUUUACAUUAUAUAUUAUAGACAAAAUUUGUACAUUAUACAUAAAUAUCAAGUGUUCAAUAAUUCCCCUAUUCCAGGUGAAGGCAAACAAACUCUGCCCAUUCAUUCCGGACUUCAUCAAUUGCUUCUUGGGGGUAUGGCGCUUCCUGUUUUCCCUUGGCAUACUGCAUAAACAAUGACUAUUAGGGUUUAUAAAUAAAAAGAAAUUAAAUCACAGACGACGAUAUUUUUCAUAACCGACGUACUAUAUCUAUUCAACGACGGUAAUUUUACAUGACCGUCGUUGAUAAUACAUAAAACGACGUAAAAUGUAUGAAGGUAAUUUCUUCUUACCUUCUUCUCAAACCCCAAGGAAGGAUCCAUGAUGAUGUCCCUCAUGAAGCGCAUCACAUAAUACCCGCAUUCGACACUGCUGGGUUGCUUUGGUGUGCCUGACAGAGUUUUCCAAAUGACUGCCUUACGGCCUGGUCUAGCUAUGUGAGAAUUAUAAAUUUUUAUAGCACUGUUCACAAUGUUUUUGGCCUCUUCAUCGACCACACGAUUUCCUGGCAGAGAAUCCAGAAAAUAGACGGUUUCUCUCUUUGCUCUUACAAUCAGCAAGAUCCAAUGACGGCUGCACAAAAUUAAUAUAAAAACGACGGUUAUUUACAAAAACGACGUAUUAUAAUAUUUCACACGACGAAAUAAAGAAGCAAUCGACCACAUUAUAAAUUUAUCACGACAAUAAAUAACUACCGACGUGGUUAGUAGUUUCAAACGACUCAAUAAAAUAAAACACCGACGUGGUUAGUUUAUACGCUAUCAUUUAUUGAAAAUCAUAAAAACAAAAUCCUGUUAAGGAGACUAACCCUGGAUUGUAAGGCAUCAGGAAAAUCUGUUCACCGUCAGUCCUCUGAAGUCGAGCUGCUAGUAGGCGUGAUCUGUCAGCUAUUGUGCCAGAGCUGGCACUAACUGUAGCAGGGUCGAUAAAGCCAACCAUGGAGCACAUAUUUGCUCGUUUCAAAACAUCGUGUAAGUACCUAGAUAUAUAAAAUAAUAUAAACAAGUCAGCACAAAAAAACACACGACGGUUAUGUAUAACAAAACAACGUAUUAUAAAAUUUCACACGACGUACUGGAAUAGACAACGACUUUAUAAUAUAUUUAUCACGACGGUACAUACUAACGACGUGGUUAGUUAGUUAAGACGACGCAAUAAAUAAACCAACGACGUAUUAUUUUAGAAUGACAAACCUCAUAUAUACAAAAAACACACGACGGUUAUGUAUAACAAAACGACGUAUUAUAAAAUUUCACACGACGUACUGAAAUAGACAACGAUGUUAUAAUAUAUCUAUCACGACGGUACAUACUAACGACGUGGUUAGUUGGUUAAGACGACGCAAUAAAUAAACCAACGACGUAUUAUUUUAGAAUGACAAACCUCAUAUAUACAGCAAUGACAGUGGCUCCUAUUUCUUCCAUGCCUGCAAAUUGUGUAAUAUCUUCAGGCAGGAGGAAGGUAUCGCGCUCUAGACCAAACACCUCCUUAUCAAUUGUAAAGUGCAGGGUCUUAUCCUGAGUCACGAGUGUCGUUUCCACAUAACGACAAAGGGAUUUUAAAGAAGAUGGCGCCUCCAUAUUUUAAUAAUCAACACCUUGAAUAACCUGUUUAAAGAAAUAAAAAAAAUGACGUGGUAAUUCAAUAAAAACGACGGUUUAAGGAAUACAACGUCGUCUGAAAAGAAUUUAAACGACGGUGAAGAAACCGUCGUGGUGAAUAAUUUAUUACGUCUUAGAAAAAAAUUCCGCCGUCUAAGUUAUAAACAAACGACGGUUUAAAGAAAAAUAUCGACGUCUGGAAUUUUGAAAAACAAAUAAAAAAGGCAAAGUUAUGUGAACAUACCUGGUCGUCAUCUUCUUUCUCCUUUUCAUCUUGUUUUUCUUCUCUCUUCUCUUCAUCUAUUACGGCGGGAAUGACUAACUCCGUCGUCUAAAAACCACAAAGUUUUAAAAAUAACGACGUUUAAUGGCGUGUAAAACAAGUAAACUAAAUACGACGUGGUAUUGAAAUACAAACGACGGCUUAUUUUUAAAAUCGUCGUGGUAUGUAUUUCAAACGACGGUUUUAUUAAUAAUAACGACGUCUAAUGGUUUUUAAAAAAACAGAGAAUUCAAAGUUCAGAUAUGUUACCUUUUCUUCCUGAUGUUUCCCAUUUUUGGCAGUAUCAUCCUCAAAAUGCUGGGAUCUCACAUCACCUCCAGAGCAGCUUGCUUUGUCAGACAUUGGAUUUUUGGGACUUUGGCUAAUUCUGGGUUUAAGCAUGCUUGGAUCAAAAUUGGGAAUUAAUUGGGAAAGCUGACUCAGGAAAUGCUCCCUCUCAGCCUCUACCAAUUGUUUCGUUCUAGCCUCCAUCCUUAAAGCCUCUUCCCUUGCCUUAGCUUCCAUCUUUUUAGUCUCUUCUUGAAGGAGAACUCUUAAACUGUCCUUCAAACGGUCGUCAGAGCUCACUCUCUGUGGUUUGGGUAAAUUGAAAUAUUGCCUUGGUGAGAUCCCAGCACCUACUCCUCUCACUCUGCCUGGAUGCUCGGGGUCCAAAGCCAUGGUCAGCACAUCAUUGCUGCCAGAAACAGUGACUUUGCCUUCCGAGACUUGUUUUUGCAAUUCAUCCUAAAACAAAGAUAUAUAAAAAAGUAAGAACAAAAACACACGACGGUUAUUUAUAUACAAACGACGUAUUAUAUAAUUUCACACGACGCAAUAACAUAUAAAUCGACGUUAUUAUAAUUUAUCACGACGGUAGUUAUACCGACGUGGUUAGUUUUUAAAACGACGAAAUGAAUAAACCAUCGACGUCUUAUGCUUUAUUUACAGAUAACAGAGGGAUGAUUCAAUAUUCACACCUUUAACGACCUUGUUUAAAACAUUUCGACGUAGUAAUUCAAUACAAACGACGCGAAAAUGAACCACCGACAUCUUAUGCUAUAAUUACAGAAAACAGAGUAGUGAUUCCUAUUUAGACCUUUAACGACGUUUUUUAAAAAAUUUCGAUGGGGUAAUAUCAUUCACACGACGCAAAAUAUAACAUAAGACGUAAUAAGAAUUAUUCACAGUUUAAUAAAAAUUUAAAACAGAGUGAGUAGGCUUACAAUUAAUUUUGCUUUCUCUGCCACCUUUGGAUCCGGGAUGUUACCAUGUUUGUCCUAUCUAGCUCUCUUCCAUAAGGUAGAUCGAUCAAUUUCUACCCAAGGCAUGGUUUCCUCCUCCAAACCAGCAUAUCCUUUUCGAGACAAUCGAUGAUUGUACUCAAGUUUCUCCCUAAUCUGUGCAUGUUGAGAAUGCACAGACUCAAAAUCUUUGGAUAACCUUGAAGCUACAAAGGCAUCCCAUUGUGCUUUCUCUAUGAAUUUAUAUGUUUCAGGGGGUUGGCUUAAUCUCUCCCUGUCAUUGGUGUAUGGAAGGAUAUAAUGCCUCGUUAGUGUAGACUUGAAAUCCUUCCAUUUCUUGGCAGCAGAAGCUAACACAGAGCUCUUGCCCCCUUGACCUACCACAAAAGCAAUGUCAACUGCUUUCCAAAUCUGCUCCUUUAUAUCCUUGGGGAUUUGAGCCCAUUUCAUGUCCACAAGUGGAACUCUGGAGCGUGCCAACACACCAAUGUAGGACUGCAUCUCACUAUGUGCUUGGCCAAUUCCUUUCCCCCUUUUAUUGUACUCAACAAUUGGCCUCAGUUUCUGAAGUUUUCUCUUCACAACACGAGGCAUUGUGCUCAUACCUCGACCAGACUUUGAAUCAUCAGAGAUUGUUGUAGUGCUGGUUGGUUUUGUCUCAGCAGAUGAUGAAGCAAACUUCAUCUUCUUCGAAGGCUUCACUUGAGGAGGUACCAUUCCAAGCUCCUUACCUCCAUUUUUCUUGGAGCCAGAAUCCUUACUUUGGUCUUGGUGAGAAACCAUUUUUACAGACAAAACUGCAAGUGAAAAUAUUUCAGGAAAAGAUUAAGAACACAAACGACGGUUAUUAAUAAAAUACGACGUAUGAUAUGAUUUUAAACGACGCAAUGAAAUAAUCUCAGACGUAAUAAAUGUUUAAAACCAAGGUAAUUAAACAACGACGAAAUAAUUAACUAUAAACGACGUGAUAAUUAACUAUAAACGACGAAAUAUUUAUAUAACGUCGUGGUAUUGAUGUUCACACGACGUCAGUAGUAAUAUACCGUCGUCUAUAUAAGGAUCCAAAACCCUUCUUUCUUUCUCUGUGAAUGUUUGAUUGCAUAUUUGAUUUUUCUGAACCAUGGUUUUUGUUUUCUAAUUUGAUAAAAUACAAGGCCAAGAAAGAAAGUUUUGGAAUCUUAUAUAGACGACAGUAUUUUAAUAUGACGUCGUGGUAUUAACAUUCACACGACGUAAAAUAAUAAGAUACUGUCGUCUAUAUUAGAUACCAACCCUACUUUCUUUUUCUUUAUAUUUUAUCAAAUUAGGGAAAAACAAAAACCAUUGUUCAGAGAAAUCAAACCUGCAAUUAAACAAGCAAAUAAAAAAAAGACUAUAACUUUAAAAACAACUUUGUCAAUUUUCAGACGACGCUAGAACGACUGACGAACUGUCGUGGUCUACAUAUUUAACCACGUAAAUAAGAAGCUACCGUCGUCUUAUUUAGUUGAGGUAGUUGUCUUCAAAGUUGGAAACUUUCCCUCUUUGUCUGUAUAUUUUAUCGAACUUGGAAAGAAGUAAAAUGAUUUUGGCCAGAAAAAAGGUAAAAAGAUUUUUCAAACAAAAAACGUAUGAGCAUGCAAAACAGCAACCAAAAUAGUGAAAAUGAAAGCUUACCUUUUGCGUGCAAUGAAAGCAAGAGGAAGAUUAUGUUUAAGUUCAGAGACGACGAAGAAGACGAGAGGAAGACGAUGAGAUACUCUGACAGUGCUCUGACAAGGAAAAAAUUCUAAAAGUUUUCUCUGGGAGAUUGAAAUUUUUAAUCGGGUUUGGAAACAGCGCAUGUGUAUGUCAGGUAGACGAAAAGUUGCUUACAUAUAAAACCAUUUCAAAAAAAUAAUACGGCGGUUACAUAUAACUACGACGUAUAAAUUACAAAAUACGACGGUACAUUUAACUUCGGACGUGGUAAAUAAAUACGACAGUAGUGUUGUAGGUACCGUCGUAGUAAACUCAAAAAUUAAAGUACAUAAGUAAUAACUCGCGUCAUGGUAGAUUAUUUAACACGUCGUUUUUAUUAAUGUACCGACGUGGAUUUCUGUAAUAUACGUCGAUCAUAUCGACGUUGAUUUUACAAUUUAAACGGCGGUUUUUUUGUAAGGACCGCCGUUGGUUUUAAAAAUUUAUUAUAUAAAUUUGUCGCUUUCAUUCAUUUUCGGUUUACAUUUAGGGUUCCAAGUUCUUCCUCUCUCAGUCUCUCACGUCUCAAAGACAAUAAUUUGGAUGUCUUUCUCAAAAAGAAAUUGAGCUUACUCGCAUCAAAUAUAUGUCCACAAGAAGAAGCUUGUCAACUAGCCUUCUCACUUCCUUGAUCAAGCCUGAUAGGACACUUAGUGCUUCUGAAUACUCCUUGCUUUCCAUCAAAAGAGAUGCAAGCCUGGCCUCCACUCGCUGUCGAAGGAAAGUUCGCUUUUCAGGGAAAUCUGCUUGAUUUUCUUGGCUAAGAAGAUCCGUCAGAUUUGUGAUAGCCUCUUCCUUUAUCCGUAGAGCUUCAGAAGAAGAAGAUGGGUUUCAAGAAUGCGAUAAAGAAUAGAAAUGGCUUCAGAUGGCCUCUAAAGCAUGAGCAAUCGAAUCAGUAGUUGCUGGGAGAUAUGAUGAAGACAUUGUCAAUGCUUUGAACUAUACAAGUCCUGCAGAAAGAUAAAGGACCAAACUGUUAAAGAAACUGAAACAACGGCGGUUUUCUGUUCUACCGUCGUCUUUUCUCGUCGUCUAUAUUAAGGUAAGAUGGCGGUAGAUUUAUAAUUACCGACGUAGAUUAUUUUGUUAAACGUCGUUAAGUGUACUACAACCGACGUGGAUUUUAUUUUUAAAUUAUAAAUAGAGUUUUUUUUCCCGAAUUCUUUCAGUUUUAGUUUUCAAUUACAAAGCGUGAUAAAUAGAUUUUUCUUUCCCGAGGAAAUUUAAAAUGAGGGAAAUUAAUGUUCUUGAAUUUGUAAACUAACACGACGCAAUAUUACUAACCCGAGGAAAUUAUAAAUAGAUUUUGCUUUCCCGAAUAAAUUUUAAAUUAAUUCAGUUUGAAACAACAACGGUUUUUUGUUAUGCCGUCGUUUUUAACUAACACGACGCAAUAUUUGUUUUGCGACGUGGAAUCUUUUCAUUUAACGUCGUUAUGUUUAAUAUAACCGACGUGGAUUUGAAUUUUUAAAUUAUGAAUAGAAUUUUUUUUGCCGUGACCUUUCAGUUUAUUUUUCAAUUACAGUGCGUUAUAAAUAGAGUUUUUUUUUCCAGAGGAAAUUUAAAAUGAAGGAAAUUAAUGUUCUGGAAUAUGUAAAGUUUCUUUUUUGGAGGACAGAUUUAAAUAAAAUAAGAAUAUAAAAACAACGACUGUUUUUUUAUUGCUGUCGUCGUUUUUCGUCGUCUUAAGUAAGACUAAGACGACGUAAUAUAUUUGUUUAGCGACGUUGAUUUAUUUUUUAAACGUCGUUAGGUAUAAUAUAACCAUCGUUGAAAAUUGUCUCUCUGAUUGCAAAUUUGCAACGACGUUAGGUAUAAUAUUUGUAGAUACACAAACGCACACACAUCAUCAACUUCCAAAAAAUUGUCUCUCUGAAUGCAAAUCUGUGUCAUCUGUUAAGAUUAUGAUGUGGAACAGAGUUCCAUCUGGUAAGAUUUCGUAACCCUUGGGAUCUCAGACAAAUCUGAUUAUGUCGGCGGUUUUCUAUAUAAACCGUCGUGGUUAUUUCAAUUCUUGUCAUUAAGUAGAUCUACCGACGUAGGAUAAGAAAAUCAAAGAAAAAAAUUGUUAACAAAAAUUCUUAUUAAGACGACGGUUAAAAUUAAAUGUAUGACGUAUAAAAUGAAUAAAUACGACGUUAAAUUUUAUUGUACGAUUUAAAGAUAACGUCGUAGAACUAUACGAGAAUGACGUCCAUAUAUUUAUAUUUUCCGUCGUUGUACAUUAAUUUAAUACGGCGAUAUUUUGUAUUUUAAAGCCAUGGAUUUGUUUGUAAUUAUACGGCGUCUUAUACGAAAACCUCGUCGUGUUAUUUUAUGAGUAAAAACGGCGGUUUUUAUUGAAAUCGUCGUCUUUACUUUCUACGUCGAUCGAUUCAUAACUUCUGCCGUUCUUUGUUGGCAUUGAUUUUACACUGCGGAAAUCUGUUUCAAAUAGACGUCGGUUGUUUAAUUAUGUACGUCGUUGUUUUUGAACAGCCAUUUAAAUCUCCAUUUUUUAGUUGUCUAAGGUUGUAUUACACGACGGUGUUUUUAGAACCGUCGUCUUUUUAAAAACCACGAUGGUUUUCACUUAGACCGUCGUUGUUUUCUGGUCGUCUUUUUCACUUUUUGUAGUAGUGCGAGUUAAACUUUUAUUGAGCAUGGUGCGGACCUUGUCGUUGGUCCUGGAAUUCGGGUGAGAACGAGAUGUGAUUAUGUUAGAAGGUUAGAACCUCGUAUGUUGGAAUUGGGAAAGUUAGAUGUUGUGAGUUGCGUUUGGUAUUCAUAGUUCUUAUUUGAGUUUAUUAUUUGUCUUGCUUAAUGCAAUAUUUGGUUUAAGGGCUUUGUUGGUAGUUUGGUUUCGCUUCGGUUUAUGUGAGGGCCGAAGGCCAAGUUUGUAAAUUGCAUGAAAUUAUAUUGUGCGUGCUGCCUUUUUGGGAUAUUAAAUGUGUUUUAUGCAGGUUGAAAUUUUUGGGAUUGUUCAAAUUACAGGGGAGACUCUGCCAAAAGUUUGGUAGAAAGUCUUGGUCUUUAGUAAGUGGGCCCGGCAUCGGAGUGAUGUCGGAAUUUUCAUAGGAUUCGUCUCGGAUUUCGAGAAAUUCAGGGCGGGUCAUGUCACAAUGUACCUGCAACCCUAGAAGAUUACUAGUAACAACCUAGGCACUCGGAAUGACCCGUCAAUCUAGGCAUCCCCUGUGCUAGCAACAACUAUAGUGAAAGUGUGAAAUCAUCAUAAUCAAGUAAACACCAAACAACAGAUAAUGAUGACUAGUCAACUAUAAGGACACAAACCCAGAAUUCAUACAAUGACUAGUCAACCACUAAGAACAGAAACCCAGAAUUUAUACGAUGACUAGUCAACUACAAUUCAUACGAUGACUAUUCAACCACUAAGAACACAAACCCAGAAAAAUUACAGAGAUGCAAUCAGAAAUUAUUCACCCAGAAACCCACCAUUGGGAAAAACUGGGGGUCAUUAACCGACAAGGCAAUCCACUAAGUAGAAAAAGAUUCUUACAAAGGAACACAAGCAAGCUUAAGAAAAACCUAGAUCUAUUUAGGAAGAUGAGCUAUACCUCCUUUGUGCAAUCUUCUUCUCCAACUUAGCAAAGCUUGAAGGUCAGUUCUUCAUGGCAAUGACAGCUCUUUCUCCAGCUCAUUCAUCCCAUGGCACCGGCUUGCAAGCUCUAACUCAGACAGAAACCAAAAUUUGGAUUCAAAGGAGAAUGACCAAUUUCUUCAAGAAACCAUAUACUCUUGAAGAAAUCAAUCUUGAAUCUGACCUAGAUAUAUAUGAGAGAGUGUUUGAUCUAGCAAGAUGAGGUUUUCAUAUUUCAAAUGCAGUUUUCAAAAAGAAACAUUUUGGAAAACCCAAAGAUGAAAAAUAUGAAGGUUACACUUGAGGAAGAAGAGAAAGGUUACAGAGAAACUUUCCAAAACUUGCCUGAAAAGUGACAACUGCCAAAUGAGGAAUCCUUUGGCCUUUACACCCAAAAAUUCCUUAGGUCAGAAUCAACACAUGGUAGCAGAGAGAGAAAGGAGAAUAGGACAAAAUAGUUGGUUAUCCAGUUGGAAAUCUUACAGAGCAAGGAUGACUAGUCAUACGAGAAACAGAUGACUAGUCAUUAUUUUAUGAAAUCAAUUUAAUGCAAUCACAAUUUACCUUUGUCAAUUUGCUUGAAUCUCCAUAGGAUAAUUGUUAGUUAAGAACACCUAGAGAAGCUAUUCUUAAUCUAAACUUGAGCUUGAUAAAAACAAUAAUAAUUCUAUCACAAAAUUGUCAAGGGAAGCCAAAAGAAAAACCCAAAAUACAUACAUUAACAGUACACCCUACUACCAAACUAUUUAUUAAAUUACUAAUUUACCCUAAUAUAAACUAAAAACAAAUAUAUUGAAUUGUGAAACAAAUAUAAUUUUAAUAAGUGCACCUUACUAACGCGGAACCUUUGGUUGUUUUUUCUCAAUUUGCUUGACUUUUCUUUUAAGCAUCCCACAUCAUUUAAAAAAUAUCUAAAACAUGACACCCCAUAUUUUUGCCUACAAUCUUCUUCUCCAUCUUAGCAUUUGGACAGCCGAACUCUUUUCUCUCUCAAAACCAAGCCCAGCAGAACCUCUUCUCCUUUCAAUCACUCUUCUUCUCCAAGCAUAUAAUUUUUUCAUUUUUCUCAUCUUUCAAUUCAGGAAAUUUUCUAUAAUAUUGGAAGCCCCUUGUAAAACUUGUUUUCUCCUAUUUACCCCCACAAAAGUAGCCACACGAAUCAUAUUGGGACUUAAUUAUAUCAGCAAGCAAGGCAAUCAAAGUUGUUUUUUGGUUUUUGGAUAUUGGAUUCAAAAAACAAAAAAUUAUUUUUAAAAAAUCAGAAAGAGAAAAAUUAAAAAAACAGACUGCAUGAAAUACUGUGUUUCUUGGGAAAAAAAAUUAAAAACCCCCGAAGCUGCAAAAUUGAGUGUUUUAAUAAGAAUGAUUCCCUUACUGAGUAUUACUUAUUAUUUGAUUUAGGAUCAAUAUCAAAGAAUUCUAUUGAACGUUUUUGUGCUAUUAGUUAUAUUUUGGAUAUAUAAAAAAGAACAAUAUUGUCCAGAGUGUACAGUUAAAAACUUUGAGAAUCAAAGUAUGGGGAAAGGGAUCGUGGGGAGAUGAAUGUUGUUGGUCUUUUUUUGAAGAGGUAGUGUAUUAGGGUGUAUUAAGGGUAUUUUUGAUAGUUAAAUAGGGUGUACUUUGUUAAUUUUAUAUUUUAAUUAGGGCGUACUCAGUUAAUUUUAGGGUUUAUUUAGCAGCACUCAUAAAUUAUCUCUUUAAAAAAUCACACAAAUUAACAGGUAUUUUUGUAAAGCUCAAUUUGUAUUGUAUUUCAACAAUUUGAAUCGUCUAUGUCAUAGAUUAUAUCGCUUUAAAAAAGCACCCAAAUUGAACUUUUUUAACCAUUUGAUUGAAUAGUAGUUAUUUAUUAAGUAUGUGUCUAUUUGUCUCAUCACAUUUAUAUAUGUUUGAAUGGUUUACAAUUUGUUCAAAUAAAUGAAAUGCAAAGUGGGUGAACCCUAGAAAGUGUCGUAUUUGAAAAAUAUAUAAAUAAAAUGAUAACCUUACACAUAUUUGUUUACUUUAUAUAAAUAUCACCACAAACAUAGAAUAAACAGUUGCAAAACAACAGAAAACUUCUAAAUGAUUACUUUUAUAUAAAUAUCACCAUAAGCAUUUUUCAAACAUCUAGCAUAUUGCUGAAACAUCUAUCGCUAGAUCACAUCUUACAAAAGUUAUUCCUCUGUAUUUUUUAUCACGAGGGUCUAAAUUGUUACUAAAAUUAAUCGUCAAUUGUUCAAUACAUAUAAAUUACUAAAUGAUUUUCAAUUGAUUGAUUUUUCGUAAAAAUGAUGUUUAAAUUAUGAUUUAUUAGGAAAUCAACAAUUCCGAUUAUCAUCAAAACCUUUUUUUCAAGCUGCUGAUGACUUGAUCAUAUCUUCAGUUUCGAAUUAAUGAGAGAGAGAGAGAGACAGUAAAAACUUUAAAACACACACGAUGGAGUAGUACUGAUAUUACAAGUAGGGAAUAAUUAGAAAGAUGUUGGAGUACAUACCAAAUGGACUUCAUUCACACAUAAAUAUACACACACUAUACUAUACUAUACUAUUCAUACCGUAUAAUUAAUUAAGCCGCAUGCUUCCCUUAGUAAUAUAAUUAAACAGCUCUAUAUCUAAAGCUGUAGGAAGAUUUAGCUUAUAAACAAAGGAUCAAUAGUAGCCAGGGUAUUGGUUUCAGUAGAAAUGCAUUCAUGAUCAUAUUCAGUGACCAAAAUCGGUACUUUUUGUGACCAACUAGCUGGCCACUAAUAAACGUUUUUCUUGUUAGAGCUGAUGAUAGGCUUAUUGUAAUUAGGCCAUUGCAGCUUCUGUGGAGGUCCAUGAUUCUCCAUGUUGGCUGCCGCUGCUGCCGCCACUGCGCCUCCAUAUAUACCUUCUGUGGAGGUCCAUGAUAAUCCUGAGAAGGUGUAGGAGAAGAGGAAACUUGAUUCCCCAUGUUAAUUACAACUUAAAACUGAUUACAAGUUUUGCUUUGAUUUGAAUUCCUUGGGGUCCAAGCCUCAUUAUAUAGUAGUCCCAUUACUCACACAAGCUUAUAAUAAUACUUCACCCUUAGGGGCCCGCAGAAUGUAUAUGAUGUUAUAUAGGACUUGCAUGCACAUUCUGCUUAAUUAAUUAAUUAUAAUUCUUUGCGUAAAAUAAAUGAAAUUAAUAGUGCGCUUCUGGAUUUAGUAUAUAUGCUAUACAUGCUUUAUUCUUCUCAUACCAUUAAAAAAUAGAAAAAAGAGGAUUUGCAUGAGUCAGUAAUAAUUUGAUUCCGUACUCCAUAAUUUUCUGCUUUAUAUUUUUAGUUUAUUUUUUAAUUGGCCUAUUCAUCUUCUCUAGGCGUUUGUUAGUCAUCUUAUUGAUAUUUUCAUAUUUGAUUCAGUACUCCAUAAUAAAAAAUAAAUAAAAAGAGGAAAGAAUAGCUAUAUUGAAUCUUGUUUUCCUGUAUCCUCUAGUGCUUUUUUGUUAUUGCAGUUAUGAUAUUAGAUUGAGUGUGAGAUAAAUGAUGAGCAGACCAAAAACAAAACGAAGAUAUGUGUUUCUAUAUUAUUAUAACAAUAAGAUCUCUUCACCUUUCGAAAUGAUACUUGCAUUUGAUAUUUCUUUAUUUAUGAUAACACCUUUCAUUGUAAAUUAGCUUUCUAUAUAUUUCUAGAACUAUUUGGUGAAUCAGAUCGAUUCACCUAUGUAACACAUAUAUAUAUGUGUGUAUGUUGACAGGUCUAAUCAAUCUAAUAGGGUUUGUUGUCGUAAUUUUAAAGGAGUUCAAGCCAGACAAACACACAUACAUCCACGUUAAAAUUCACAUUGACCAUUAACGCGUUGAGUUAAACUUUAUAUCACAUCACCAUCUUUUAAGUUAAACUUUAAGUGUCGUAUUGAUCACAUUUGCUAACUCAUCGAUAAAGAUAAAUCUCUCACUUUUAUAAGAAAUAUGACCCACGAAUGAUGAUGGGUAAUGAAUGUGAAACUAUAAUAUGCGCACGCACCCACACCAUUUCUAUAAGGAUGAGAAAUUGCCAAGUCAGUCUAUGGCGAACCUCUAGAAUUAGGAGUAGUCAGUAUAGUGCAUCUGAUACCAGCGCUGACCUUUUCGCUCUCUACUUCAACUCUAUAUUUCUUCUUUAUUAUUUUCUUACAUGAAUAAAAUUCUUUGAUAUUGCAAGGAAAGUUGUUUUCUUCCUUUCUUUUGUGCUAUUUUUUUAAUAAUAAUAAAUUUCCUUGAAAAGUGAUUACAUAACAAACAAGAGAGAGUAUGCAAGAGAGGAGGGGCUAGCUUUAAAUAUAUUUUAUAUAACAUGAGAAGUGAUUUGUACAUAUAAUUACAAGCUGACACAUAUACAUUUAGGUGCAGAAAAUAAGCUAUCCAAACCAUUUCUACAUCUGAUAUACAUACAUAUACUAUAUUACAGAGAGCUUCAUUAGUUAACUAAUUACUUAUACCAAACUAAGUUGGUAAUAAUUAGCGGCGAAUCUUGGGGUUACUCUAUCUCUAUCCAUCGAAAUAGCAGGGCUGCAUCCUUGCUAUUAAGAACAGCCUGAUCAUUCCUAAGAGGAGUUGGGUGUCUCCCUGCACGAGCUGGUUGGUCUUGAGAAAAUGGAGGCCUCUUGCCUGGCCGGCCAUGGAACUUGUCUAGCAUGGCAAAAGCCUGCCUUCCAAGCUUUGCUAGCUCUUCAUGUUCAGUAAUUAACACUCCCCCGUAGAUCUCUGCUGCCUCAGUGCUACUAAGAUAGACGUCCUUUAUCUGAUGAGGCUUCUGAGCUGGAACUUCCACCGUCUUUACAGGCCUUCUGAUCUGACGAUGAGGAGGAGGAACAUGAUUUUGAUCCAUGUUGGGGUAUGGAUAAUAUUGUACCUGUUGAGGAGGAGGAAGAGGCCUUACGGUGACAGUCUUGGUGGGCCAGCCGCCAUGGUACUCGUCUCUCAUGGCAGGUGCUGGGAAGUAUGAAACUUCUUCUGCAGGGUAGACAUGAUCAUAUAGCACGGGACAUGUGUGCCUGAUAUGAUAAAACAUUUUCUCCUCUUUCAUGGUCAUAAAGCCAUGCCUUGCCUUACUGAAACAAAGGUUAAGAGACAAGCAACAUUUAUAGUCGUGAGAGUCACAGAAGCUCACAAGUGGGCUAUCUGAUCGAUCGUGUGAUUUUCUUUUGAUGCUUUUCUUUUUCGUAAAAUAAUAAAAAGUAAUUCUUAUACUUUAGGGUCUGUUUGUAAUAGCUAACUAGUAAUUAACUAGUAGUUCUAAUAGCAUAUUGAUUCCCCAUAUUGAUGAUAUUUUCUGAGAGUUGAUGAUAUUUUUCUCAAGUAAAAAGGCUAUGAUUCCCCAUAUUGAUGAUAUUUUCUCAAGUCCUUGGUGAAUCUGAUUCCUCAUUUGACCCAAAAGGACAAUUAAUAAUUGAAGAUCAAUCUACAUCUAUAUCAGCCAGGGAUUUAUUAAUUAAAACAAAAUUAUUUUAUACAUAUCAUUUGGUCGUUGAAUAAUGCUACUCUUAUCACAUUUGUAUACUACAUUCUCAUACCACCUUAUGUGGCAAAUGAGGUGGACAACUACAUUAAUUAAAUUUAUUUAACAUUUUCUUUUCUUUUAUGAUUUAUUAACACUUUAAAAAACACUGUUAAUUAACAUUUCUUUAUUAAAAAUACACUUCAUUGAUUUAAUUGAUGUGACAUAUGAUAUGAACAUGCCACAAUAUGUGAUAUAGAAAUAUGAGAUAAAAUGUGAGAAGUGUAGCAUUACUCUUUGAUAGUUUAGUAAAACAGUGUUAUUGUGUUAUAUAUACUGUCUACAUAAGUCUGGAAUAAAAGGCUAUCAAGUUCUAUGAAAGCUUAAGAAAGUUUAUUAAAAAAAUUAUACAGAAGUCUUCUGAAAGUCUAUCAAGUUCUAUACGAAUUAUAAAGUUCCAUCAAGUUCUAUGAAAGCUGGCACUUAAACAAAAUCUUUUUAAACGCUCUAGAAUACUAAUGGAAUACACCCCCCUAAGCUAUUAAAUUGAUUGUUUGGUUAGACGUUAACUGAUGUCGUGUCAACUGUGGGACCUACUUACUAACCAAUCCCAAUAUAUAUAUAUAUAUAUAAUUAGAAGAAAAAAACCUUAAAAAACCUAGCCUCCUCCCUACCUAGCACCCCCUAUUCCCCACCCCAUCACGACGACGCCUACUUCCCAACCUCCGUCUCCCACCCUUUCUCCCUCUAUCUCAUUUCCGUCUCUCAGACCCUCCGUGACACCGUUUCGCUAUCCCAGAAAUGCCAAACCCCCAAUCUCUCCGUCGGCAAGCUCCGCACUCAACGUUGAUUCAAUCCUCACUCGCCUCCACUACCACGUCGUCAAGAUUUUGAUCAAGAGUGGCAUCCCCCUCGACGCCGAGGUUUGCUCAGUAAUUAGCAAACCAGUGGCCAAUCAUGGUAAUUAUUAGGGGUGGGCACUCAAACAGGCGAACCGAAAAUCCGAGCCAAACCAAAAAAAAAUCGAGUUGACUAAAAAGUCAACAAUUGGUCAAAAACCGAAUCGGACCGGUUUCGGAUCCAGUUCCAUGUCUUCAAAAAUUGGACCGGGCCUAACCAAACCGGUCAAAUUAAAAAUAUAUAUAAUUUCAAUAUAUAUUUAUAUUUAAUGCUAUAUUUUUAAUUUUACUUAAAAAAAAACUAAUAUUUAUCCAAGUUCAAUUUCAAAAUAUCUCUUUUCUAACUUUAAUAUUUAUUUUUACAUAAAAUUGGAUAAUUUGUUAAUUUUCAAGUAAAAUAAUAAUAUUUCAUUUGAGAAUUGUAUUAAAAAAUAAUUUUUAUAAUCCAGUUCAAAACCAAACCGAAAUCGAAAUCGGACCGGAACCGAUUCAAACAGAACUGGACAGUUUUUGAAAUUUUUUUAUUAAAACCGAACCAAACCGAACCAAACCGGAUGAAUAGUACCAGAUCGGUUCUAAUUUGAAGCAAAAACCAGUCCAAACCAAACUGUGUCCACCCCUAGUAAUUAUUUUUCUUCCAAUUUUUUGUGGGUUAAUAGUUAUACCAGAAUAUUGCAAAGGUUGGGUGAUUCUCUAGAUUGUAUUGCAGGGGUUGGGCCACCAUGUGUGGUUCUGUAUUUUUGUUUGUUCUUUGUGAUUUUGCUGGGAUGGGAUUAUUGCUCGAGUUGUAUGGUCAGGAGUGGGGUGGAUCGCGUUGCUGUUUGGUGUGACUUGGUGGGUGUGGGCGCUGGUUUAAUCGUACAAAUGGAGCUUCUUGUUGGUGGUUUCCCUUUAAUGAUACAUGUAGUUUGUUUCAGGAAUUUAUCGAGACAAUAUUAUAAAAUAUCAAUAAUAUCGACGAAAUAUCGAGGAUAUUAUUGUUUUUUCAGAUCACGAUAUUUCGGAACAUAUCCAUACACAUAUUGUAUAAAUAUCGAUAAUAUCAAAAAAUAUCGAUGUCCAUAAUUUCGCUCACACUUCAGCAAUAUUUUGUCAAAAUAUCGCUAUAAUAUCGUUAUAAUAUCGAAAAUAUCAAAAAUAUCAAUGUAAUGCAAAAAAGGAAAAAUAAAUCAAAAAAUAAAGCACACACGCAAAGAAAAUUCAAACCCUUGCAAUUUCACUCAUCCAACGCCUUAACCACCAUGUUGCUUGUGUUUUUGAGAUAAUACGCAAAAGGGAAUUCUAUAUGGCACUAAGUCAUUCAUGUAUCUUACUAUGCAAUGUAUAAAGUGUAAAAUAUUAUAGUAAAUCAUUAUAUAUAAAUGAUUAUGGUGUGUUUAAUUAUCUUUCAUUAAUUACAUACAUAUUUUCUACACUCACAGUGUUUGUCAGCUCGCUAUAUAAUCAACUUAAAUCAGUUAAACCCAUCAUGCAAUGCAUUUCCUUCCAAUUUUUUGUGAUAAACUAAUAGAUAAUUGAAUAAAUAAACAUCCUCCAAAGUUUCAAUAAAAAUUUUCAAGUUUUUCUUACAAUUUCCGUGAUUUUUAUUCAACUUUUAUCAAUAUCGAUAAUAUCCCAAUAUUUCCAUUCAAAUUUUCGUAUUUUUGGACUACCGAUAUUUCCGAUACCAUCGAUAUUUUAGACAUUGAUUGAGAUAACUAAGGAGCCCGGAGUCAUUUUUGGUAGCCAAAUUUGAUGGCAUACUUGGACUUGGAUUUCAAGAGAUAUCAGUUGGAAAUGUUGUACCUGUGUAUUUCAUGAGAUUAUGAGUUUCGGCUUUGUUUGAGUCAGGUUGUGUUUUCAUCAAUAGGAAUUAAGAGAUUCCAUCUUGCUAUGUUUCUCAGAGGUGGAGGUGGCUGAGUUGAGGGGAUGGGGAACAUGGGGGCGCUGGGUUGUUGGGCAAGGAAGGGGUUGGGAAUUUUUAAGUUUUUUUCUUUUUUUAAUUUCUGAUUAUUCUUAUGUUAUUAUUUUAUAUAAUUUUUUUAAUUUAGGUAUUGGUUAGUAAGUAGGUGUCACAGUUGACACGUCAUCAAUUAAUGUCUGACCAAAUGAACAACUUAACGGAAGGCUUAAAUUGGUCAGAUUUGAAAACAUUGAGGUGUAAAUUGAUGAAAUUGAAACCCCAUAGUCCAUAUUGAGAAUGAUCCCAAACCUUCAGGAAGUCUAUUGUUAUUAGCCCUAAAUUAAAUUAACUCUUUUUUUUUGCCCUUUUUUACAAGGGGAGUAUAGAAGAUUUCAUUUCAUGUAAAAAAUAGUUGUGAAGCUGCAAAAAUGAUUGAGUGAUACUAUCAAAUAGCAAUAUUUGUGUAACAGAGUUUUUUAAAUAGUAUUAUGAUUGUAACAAGGUUUUCAAAUAGAAGUAUCAUUAUAGCAAAUAGUCUCGUUAUAUCGAUAUCAUGUCGAUAUAUUGCCAAGACUAUUACUACCUAUAGUGUCUAUUAUUUCGAUUACAAACAGUCUUUUUUUUUGUUAUUGUUGAGAAAUUCUAGAAUUGUAUUCAUAAUUCAGCCAAAAAUGCCACAGCCAGAAAUGACCAUUACAAUAACAAAGCGGUCUAACAUCUAAAUUAAGACAAUCUGGUGCACUUUCACUAACGAUCAUGCAUGAUCGAAGAAACUCUGACAUAUGCAUUUCAAUUAAGAUUGCAAAAUAAUCAAAAAGAGAUAAAGCUUGAAAAAACCAAGCCAUAACAAUACAAAUAAAACUCUCAUAAGAAAGAGAUGAAAAGUUCUCACAAAGGAGAGGUAAAAAGCUCUCACAAAGAAGAAGUGAAAACUACACAUAGAACCCAAAGAGUCUCUGUGACUUAUUCUAAACAUAAAGAAAUCACAACAAGGAUGGUGGUGGAGAUCUGAAGCCGAGACGCAGCUGCUUGUGAUAGUUGGAGGAAAUCAUAAUAAAAUAAAGACAAAUAGGAAAAACCUUUUGUCUCUCUGAAAAUGAGGGGAGAAGAGAAGGAGGGAGAGAAGAAGGGAGAGGGGAGGAAGAACAGUGGCUUCCUUCACCUCCAAAGUGAAAACGGAUUUAGGAGAGUUUUUGGGAGAGAGGGGGCUAGGGUUUGGAAGAGAGAAAAUCUUUUGUCUACAAUUUGAUACCUAACGUUUCAAUAAAACAGUCUAAAAGUUUCGAUAUGAUUUAAACAAAGUAUAAAUAUUUUGUCCAUAUUGUCAGUUUGCUGCAGUAAUAGUGGUAUUUGAGAGGAAAUUCCUCAAAAUUAUUAGGUGUGCCUAAAUUCAGGUCCAUACAUCACUAGUAAAAUGAUAUAUGUGAAGUUACUAUAUAUUAGUAGAUCCUACAAGUGUAUGGCGAAAUGUUCUUCGAAACGACGAAGGCCAUCCCUUACAAUAAUGAAGUUGCCUGUCUGAGUCUUACAGCAGACUCUUGGUGUUAUAAGUGCCACUGAUGUUGUUGUUCUUGAUGUAAAUGUCACUAAGCUUCACUUGAAUCAGCAUUUGACAAAUAUAUACAACAGAUAAAAGGAAAAGAAAAACACACACACAUAUAUAUACCGAAAGAAUAAUUUAUAUUAUUUAUAAAUUUUGGGGGGGCCAUGGCCCCUCUGGUAAUCAGAAGCACACCGAGACUGAUGCUGCAAAAUAAUAAACCUUCCCCGUUUGAUGAUAGAAUUCAUAGUUUUGUGAGUCUGUAUUUUGGAUGUAUUUGGGAGAGAAUGGAUGAGAGAACGUUGCUCUCUGUGAAAAACAGAAAAAUUGGAAGAGUGAAGUCUGCUUUUCUUUCAUUACCAGCAACCAAAAAUAUAACCGUUGAGGAGAGAGAAGAGAGAUUCUUCUCUAACUGCCUCUAUACAAGAUUUAAUCCUAGCCAUUGAACUAUCAUCCUAUAAGAUGAUUACACUUGUCACAAUCUAACACCUCACUUAAGAAGCCACUUGGACUCUAAUCCAAUGGUCCUUAUUACAAACAGCAGAAAAGCUUUUAAACUAAAACAGAGACAUUCAAAACGAAAUGCGAUUAGGCGGCAAGGGGUUUUAGCUCAGCUCAAAGGGGUUACACAUCAACAUUUGAGAGAUGAAUACAUAUGCAUCAACCCCAGAGACACCCCCAAUAUUAAAUCUUCUUCUUAAACCCAAGAUGCUCUCCUCAUCCUCUUCAUGUAUAUAUACAUACGUAUAUGUAGCCAAGCAGGACAAGGGUGCUUGUCUUCAACUAGAGCAGGCGUUUAAUGGCAGGCUGGUGGGUUUUGUAUGCCACCAAAUCCUACUUCUGCAUUUUUGCAUAUGGAGGUGAUAGGCCCGCCAUUGCUGGGACCAAUGUAGUUCAAAUUGAUGUCCCGAAGCUCAACAUUUUUGCAAGGGAACUGGCUGCUGCAAAUGAAAUCCACUGCAAUCUUUGAUGCUGUGGUCCCUUUGAUGUUUAUGUAGUGAACAUUGCUGAUCUGUACGCGUGAUGGCUGCAAAAAAUUCAACGAUAGAACGUUAAAAAUUUAAGAUUAGGAUAAGUCAUGGUUCGAUCUCAUUCGAUGUACUAGAAAAUUGGUAAAAUUGAAGAAGGUAGUAGUUUGUGAAAAGGAGGCAGGUUUGAAGAGAAUUAGUUAAAACAAACCUGGUUCUUGUUGCAGCCCCCUGCGCAAUACUCUUGGUCAAUUAUGAUGGGUUUCUUAACAUUCUGCAUGAUAAGGUCCUGGAAAAUCAUGCCUGAGGCUCGGCUUGGGGUCGAUCCUGGCCAUGAUUUGAUUCUAAUCCCAUUGUCUGUGUUCAAAAACGUCGUCUUCUUCACGAUGAUCCCCGUCACGUCAUUUUCAUUCUGAUACUUGCCAAGGCUACCGAUACUGCCAUCCGUAAAAAUGGGCAUACAAAUUCAGCCAUGAGACAAUUUGAUAUGUUAUGUUGAUAGACCGAGAAAUAUGGACUAUUAACGACGUUACAAUAUUAUAGCAAAAGGGUUUCGAAGUCAUUAAGAAUUGAGUUAUGCAUGUACCUGAUGCCAUGUCCAGGGCCACAGACAACAUUGUUGAUGGCAACGUUGGUGGAUCCCUGAAUCAUGCCAAUGCAAUCAUCACCAGUUCCAAUGUGAACUCUGGCGAUCUUUAUGUUGUUGGAGUUGCUGAUGUGGAUGCCGUCAGUGUUGGGGCUUGUGUCAGGGGCAGAGAUGUUCACUCCUCGCACCCUAAUGUUCUGGCUGUUAGUGAGGAAAACGUGAACUCCUUUGCUGUUAAGGGAGGUGAUGCCUCGGAUGACCCCGUUUUUGACACCGUUAAAUUUGAUGCUCUGCAUAAUUAUUUAAGUAAAUAAAUUAAUUAAACUAAUAGUUAAGGUCAGUUUCUUUCUUAUGAUGGUAUACAAUUUAGAAGUUAAUUAUAAAUCAUUAAAUUAAACUUACAGCUGGGAGUGGACUGCAACUGCUGCAGCCAUCAAUGUUUUUCCAGGAACUUGAACCUUGCCCAUCAAAGACGCCAUUGCCUGUGAGGACCAAGCCCUCUACAUGUUCAAACAAGAACCAGAAUGGUUCUUCAUACAAGGAAAUAUCAUUCAGGCCUUUGAUGGUCCCUGAAACUUGAACAACAAUGGGUUUUGAGCAGCUGCAUGGCCCUUGAAAUAUGACUGGCCCAGUCUUGAAAGUCCCUUUUGGGAUUACAACCCUUGAUCUCCCGGUGUGGUUGCGGCAUGCUGCAAUCCAUGUUUGUAUGAAAGCCUGCGCAAUUUAAAACCAAAAACCAUCCAUUUCUCUCAUUAGACCCAAAAUUUAAUUAUCAUAAUUAAGUGUGCGAAUAAUACUAAUAUUACUAGAGUCACUAAAUUUUUACAAUGCUUGAAUCGCCAGACCCAUCAGGCUUGGCGCCAUGAUCCAACACGUUAAAGAUUUUCUCUGUAGGAUCCACUUUGUCAUGGACACCCAAAUUAGUGCCACGGAAAAUAUCGGGCACAACCAGGGUAACUGCGGUUGCGGCGGCUUGACAGGCCAGUGCAGCUAAGCACAAGAUAAGAAUGGCGUGGCUCGACAUUCCUGCAAUGGCCAUGGUCCCCCCUUCAAAUUCUAGGUCUUACGAACUAUAUAUCUAGCUAUGAUUGGUAAAACAAAAUAAGCCUCCGGGGGACGAGGCUGUUAUGAAGAUGAAUUAAUUCUCUGUGUGCGUGUUAUUUAUAGGUGCUUGUUUUCAUGUCGCUAAUUAAACCAAAAUUUUUAAUGGCAACCGCUGCUGUGUGUGAGGAGGCUCGAACUAUACGGUGAAGGUUGGAUUAAUUAGUUUUGUCAUUGUUGGUUUUUAGUUGGUUUGCCUAAAAUUGGAGAUAUGCUUUGUGUGUGUAUGCAUGGUGCAAUGUCGUCCUUCACUCCCUCAGUUGUAGCCUACUUCUUCUCCAUUUUGCCUUCUUUUUCAUAUCUUUGCCUCGCCCACCAAAUUAUCACCAGCAUUUUACCCACCAGCAUAUGGCAAGAUACCGAAAGCGGCAACAUAAUUUGUUUUGUUUUAUUUUUUCUUUUCUCUUUUUCCUUUUGGUUAGAACAAGAAAAAAAAAGAACUGGGCUAAAUUAUAGCAAUGCUCCCUGGACUAAGACCAAACUUUACUUAUUGUCCAUCAUAUUAUUAAAUUGUUACGGUGGUACUUUAAUUAUGUCUCCAUUUUCAGAAAUCGUCAUUUCCGUCAUCUCAGUCAACUUUUUCGUUAAAAAUGAUGACAUGACAAUGACAAGUCCUACUUGGCAUGGACACAAAUGUCUUUUCACACAAAAAAUUUAAAAAUAAAUCAAAUCUCUCCCUCUCUCUCUCUGUGAAAACCCAAAAGGUGAUGGAAGGUGAUCCAUCCUCCCACUAAGGAGACGGACAAUGCAAGCGGCCCACCUAAAUACCAUUACAAGAAAGAUCUUAGUUGUAGGAAUAAAUAAGUGCCUAUUUCAUCAUGAAUUUCUUUUUUUAAUUGCUUUUAUAAAUAGUAGUUAUGUUUUAAUUAUCAGCGAAGACAUGGAAACCAUUGGUUCUAUUGAGUACAUGAUGAAAUUAACACAAACAAUACUAGGGGCAUAAAAAGAACACCAUGAGAUUAUCAACAAAAUAAUAAUCACCCAUCAACCAGAUUAUCUGCAAAUUGAAAUUUCAUCACUUGAAAUAUGAAUACCCAUCAACCCUCAGCUUCUCUGUUUUGACCAUAUUUGAGGUGAAGGAUGGGGGCUGGGGUUCUGGGUUCAUGGGUGCUGGGGUUGCGGGCUACGAUAGAGGGUGGUAGUGGGAUAGGUUUGAGGGUUGGAGCUUGUAGGUGGUAGUCAUGGGGGAAGAAGAAAUCGUCAGGGGAAGAGGGAGAGCGCACAGGAGGAGAGAGAGAGAGAGAGAAAGAAAGAGAGAGAGAGAGAGAGAGAGAGAGAGAGAGAGAGAAUUAAUUUAACUAAGUUGACGGAAAGACCAAUGAUGCAACAUGAGAUCUAAUUGAAACACCAUCGUAACAAUUUAACAAUAUGAGAGACGAAAAGUAAAGUUUGGUCUUAGUCCAGGGACCAUUGCUAUAAUUUUGCCAAAAAACUAUUUGCGAUAGGUUCCCACUUCUUGUUUGACUGGUCUAGAUAUGCUUGUUUUUAUAAGGAUAUUUUCUUUUGGCAAAAAAAAAAGAAAAGAAAGAGGAUAUUUUCGGAGAGUUGAUGAUAUUUUUCUCAAAUAAAAAGGAUAUGAUUCCCCAUAUUGAUGAUAUUUUC
rnacentral:lncRNA from 1 species